CACCACUUACUGGUGAAUUUCUAACAAAUGGUGGUUUCCCUGGUGGCCUGACUGGUCUGGAUCUUGUCAAAAAAUAUGCUGACUCUAAUUUCUUAAAGUUCUUCAUCAAUCGAGAACUUCUAAAAAGAGGACUUUCCUGUGAUUCUACAAAUGUAUCUGAGUUCCGACCUUCAUUGAGAUUAUCAUCACAUCCCUCUGUGUUGAGAAUCUGAAGACCUGAGCAAAAUCGUUUUCGGGAACCCAAGCUAGAAGAAUCGUCAAUAUCAUAAAUGUUCAGGGGAGGGAGAUUUGAUGCUAAAUGAUCACCCUCUCCUCUUUCUUUACAUGUGCUUCCCUUUUUCUUAAGAAAAGUUUGAUGCUUUGUGACUUCUUCAAUAUCAGAACAUAGAAGAGAAACAGUACCUUGCAACUUAUUAGCUGCAUCCUGCUUUCUUUGUUGCAUUGGUAAAAGGAAUUCCAGCAACAAUUCCUGCUCCUCUAUUCUCUCUCUAAGCUGUAUUGCUGCUUCACGCUCUUCCAAAUAGUCUCUUGGUUCAUUAAGAAACUCGCUUUGCAGCAAUUCUCUGUCAUACAAUACAUGAGAGUAAGACAAUGAAAAUUUGAUUGAACAGAAAUCAGAUGAAAUGUCAAUCAAAAAAGGUACUUUGCUCAGGGUGCAGUAACCAUAAGCACACAAUGUACUUGUUUGAAGACCUCGAAAAAACUCAUCCACAUAUUAAGGCAGAUGCUACCAUAAAAUGUAAAGUAAACAAAGGUGCAGGAAAUUAACAUUCACCCCAUUUUUGGCCGACUACUUGGCUCAGGGUGCAGUAACCAUAAGCAAAAUGAAGCUUCUUUUGGCCACUUGAGCAGCAAUUGAGGAGGAAGAACCCGAUGUCUGAGACUAGACAUAGUUCUGCUCUUGUCUUCCCUUGAAGUGAAUGGGCUGAACAGCUGUUCACAAGUAGAACUAUAUCACAUCAAUGUAGACAGUAAACAGCAGAAGCUCUUAAGACAUUAUUGCAGGCCAUUUAGAUAAUGAAGAACUUUCUGCUUGAAAUAGAAGUCAAAAGUUCAAAACACAUAUAAGAAAUGGUUUUGAAUCCACUCUAAUUUUGAUCGUUAACAUCAUAAAUGCAACAUUAUCAUUACGAACCUCGAAAAGAAGAACUCCCAAUUGGUAGAUGUCUGAAGCACAAGAGCUUGGUGAACCAGCAACCUCUUCAGGGCUGGUAUACCAACUGGACUCCAUCAGCAAUAUUUGCUUCAUUGGAAAUGGUUGUUUCCUUUCUUCUUCAUGUUCAACGUUCCUCGUACCAAGGACUUUAUUUUCUUCUGUUUCUUCCCCUAAUGGUAAAUCUGCUGCAUAAAGCGAGCUGGACUGCAUGCAACUGGCUUCCGAUAAAGCAUUUGUUGGAGUAGAUGCAGGUAGAAAAUCUUCACUUUGUAACCUACUUCUCUGCUGGCACAUGUCAUGGGAGAAAGAAGAAGCAUUUUUAACCUCCACAGUUUGUCUAUUCAAUCCAUCAUCCAAAGAAUCAGACCCAGAAUCCGAGUAAGAAGCGGACUCGAUGAAGGAGACAUGGUUAAAUGAUGACAUGACAAAGCAAGAAGGCCGGACAUUGUGAACAACAAUUCCCUGUGAAUGUGCCACAUUUACAAUUUCGACUAUUUGCCUAAAUAUGUGCAAACAUUCAAAUUCAUCAACAGACCGUUCUGGUUUGUUCAACCAAUGCCUCAAGCUAACAUCGUUCCACUCCAUGUUUUGGACAAAAUGGUCAACUGCAGCUUCAUCCUCACAAACCCCAGAUAAAGUACCAGCCUGGUUUUUUAGGUUUUGACGAGCCAGAACAACCCUAUCAGUCUCCUUUCUAAACCCAGAGUUGUAAGAUGCGGAUCUUAGAUUCCUGUUGGUGACUACUGAAGUAUUAAAUCCCCUAUAACUACCAGACUUCUGCCAAGCAGACUCAGAUGAGCCCUCCAUGGUUACCCCCCUUGGGCUGCAUGUAAGCCAGAACAAACGCAUCCAAGAAAUGGAGGAAUUCGCCUGCUACUACCACAUUCGCUAACUUCCACCAUUACCAUCUUCAAUCAAUACCUUAUUUCACAGAAAUAGCAAAAAGAACCUUGCUUCUGAUCAAGCCAAAGCUCAAUAACUCAGCUCCUCGAAUAAAAAUACUAACCCUUGCAGGGCAGCGGACACUAGAAAAUAAGAUGAAAUCUUUUAGCAAGCACACUUCUCCUGAGACAACCGCAACCAGCCUAACAUCAAUAAACCAAUAAGAAAAUUUAAAAAAAGUAGAGAAAAAUCAACACUUACAUUAUACCACACACAUUUUUCCUUUCCUUUCUUCAUCCACCGGAAUUAUAAAACUAAGUCCUCACACGUGCACUGUUCAACACCAAAACAACACAAGCACCAGCACAAAAAAAAAAAUCAAAGACAAGUACAAUAAUAUCCAGAAAAGGAGAGAAACUGAAGAUACCCUUUUUACAAUAUAGAAUUAGAAACACGUACCCAGAGGUUUCAUCAAAAAAACAACACAUGCAUCAGAACCAACAAAAGCCCACACACAAUAAUAUUAUAUACAGCCAUUUAAAAGAAGAGCUAGAGAGAAGGAGGGAGGGAUAAGUACCUGUAGCAGCACCAAGAAUGGAUAUUUCUGAUCCUGCUAGACCAAAAGAGAACCACACAACACAACAAGACUUUAGUUACUACACUCCACUAAACACUACAGCCUCAUAAAUUCCCUCAUUUUUCCCUCACAACUUCAAAAAUAAAAUCAAACAAAACCCCUCCACAAAAGAAAAAAUCAACAUGUUUCAAAUAAAAAAAGGAAAAAAAUACCUCUCUCUCUCUCUCUCUCUCUCAUGCUCUGUUUCACUCUAUAUAUUAUAUAGUUCUUCAUGAAAUUAUUAUGAUAUUCUUUCUUUUUUAAGCCACAAGCUCAUGGUUCGCUCUUUGGCUCAUCUCCCCGCUUUAUUCCAUUUGAGUUACGUGGCACCACCAUAGCCUCAACCUUGUUUGUUUAUUUCUUUGCAAAGAAGCCAAAAGGGAUGGUAAAUUUGAAAACUUUGUGGGCCAUCAGUGCCAAAAAAAAAAAAAAACUGUUCUUGAUGAAAAUAAAGAUCUUGGCUUUCUAGAAUUGGAAACUCAAGGUGAGAACAUGAAAAGCAAAUAAGAGCAUGCCUUACAGGUGUGAAUCAUUAAACUAAUCUGAUGAUGUGAUUCUUGUUAGAACAGCACGUAAGAAACAAUUAAGAAUACUAUAGUGGGCAGUUCUUGUUUCUUUAAUCCGAUUAGUGACACUAAAAAUAAUAUUUUACAAGAAACACUCACAUGAUAAAAAAGAAGCUAAUAAACUAUUGAUUAAUGUAAUGAAGCACAAACAAUGAAGCUAAAAAAAACAAAUAAUGGUGAUAAAAUCAACCUUAAAAUGUGGGUUUGAGUUUUGUGGGGCCCGGGCAUAAAAGUAUACAAGGAAGGAAGGGAAGAGGAUAAUAAUAAUAAUAAUUAAGGAUUGAUAAGAGAGGAUGUGGACUAGUGUCAGGUAGGACUAAUUAUUUUUGGUUUGGUUCGGUUUUUAUCUAUAAAAAUCAAUCAAAUCAUAAAAAAAUAGACCUGGAAUCAAACCGAAACCGGCCCAAACCGACCGGUUUCGAUUUGAUUUUUGCUAGCCAAAACCAAAAAACCUAUGUUAUUUUUUGGCUUUGUAAUGAGCUUCGUAAUUGGUUUUUAACGGAUUUCUGAUGGGCUUGCAAUUAAUGUUGAUAUUGUCUAAUUUUCAUUGAAGAUUCAAAAGCAUAUUUAAUUUUUUUACCACUAAAUAUUAAUUUGUAUUAAAUUGUUAUUGUCAAUCUUAUGUAUAUUGAGUUUUUUUACCACUGAAUAUUCAUUUAUAUGAAAUUAUUAAUGUCAAUCUUGUGUUCAAUAUAUUUUUUACCUUCCUAAUAUUUUUAUGCUUCUGAAAAGUUUAAAUAACACACUCACAAUCACACACCAAUAAGUUAAAAUUCAAAUUACAAAUCAUUGCCUUUAAAGGGCUUAAAGAAAAAAUAACAAAUAAAACUAUCAUAAAACACUCCAAGCCAAAAAAAAAAAAAUCUUCAUUUGCACAUCGUCUCAAUAAAAAAAAACUUCAAGACCAUUGCAUUUUGAUUCCUGAAAUUCAUAAUCUAGAAUUAUAACAUGAUAAAUUAAAUUAGAAAAUAAAAAAAAUAAUAUUUUUACCAUAUGUUUUCAAUAAAUGCAUCACAAUUUGUGAACUAAUUAUCAUCCGUUGCUAGAUGUAACUUUCCAUCAAAUUCUACAAAAUAAAAAAUUAAACAUGUUAGAAUAAAAAUGUGUUAAUUAUUAAUAAAUCAUAAAACAAAAGAUGUAAGUUUUUAAAAAACAUUACCUGAUCCAAGGUUUUUGUAGGUUUCAAAAUCAUUCAUCAAGGUUGUAUUAUCAAUUGGAAUUGGACCAUGAUGCAACCAAUUUUGACAACAAAUAAGUGUUUGAACUGUUGCUAGAGAUAGAGAACUUCGAAAUUGGUUGAGUAUACGACCACCUGUGCUAAAGGCUGAUUUAGAAGCCACUAUGGAUAUAAAAAUAGCCAGAACAUGUUGUGCAACUUUUGAAAGUAUCUUAUAUUUUGAAGAAACAUUAAUCUUCCACUAACCUAAAAUAUCUAAUUUAUCAUUAUUAGGAUCCUCACAACCAUCAACCAAAUACGUCUCAACCUCAUUUCUAUUUUUCACACUAUCUUCCUCCUGUAAGUGCCUUUUGAAUCGAGGUAAAGUGUUAACAUCUACCUCCACAUCAUCAAUAGCAUCAUUAACAUCUUAUUUAUGCCUAUUAUCAUCCACCACUUCAUCAGCUUUCAAAUAAAACUCAUACAAGCUCACCAAAUUAUCUUUCAUUUUUUUUUGUUAGCAAUUGUGCUUUGUUAUAAUCAUACAACUCACCAAAAAAAAAUUUCACAUAUGUUAACUUAAGACGUGGAUCCAAAACAUUAGCCACAUACAAUAAAAAAUUUUGAUUUGCUUCACAACCCCAAUACUUCUCAAACUUACUCAUCAUGUUCAUCGUCAUUCCACUCAAAAGAUUAUCUCUACUUUUACAUAAUUGCAACAAGUUUGUAUGCAUGUAAAUCAAUUCAUUGAAGAAUGAAUUUGAUGUGACAUGCAAUGAGCCAGAAAAUUUCAAUGUAAUCAUGUAAAAGAUCUUUAAAAACUUCAGCAAAGUUCUAACAUUUUUCCAAUCCUCCAAACUAGGUGGUCCUAUGUUUUUUUUAUUCUCCUUUGAAUCAACCUCCAAAAAGUAACUCAUAUACAUAGGUUCACUUUGACCUAACCUCACAAACACCUUUUCAAACUUUUCAGCAGCUUCUAGCAUAAGAUAAGUUGAAUUCCAUCGAGUUGCAACAUCCAAAUACAAUGAUUUCUUACACUCUAUAUGCAACUUUUCUGCACACUUCUUAAAUGCAAGUAGCCUAGAAGAUAAAGAUCUCACAAACCUAAUUGCAUUUCGAAUCUUAACAACCAAAACAUCAAUCUCUUUCAAACCAUCACACACAAUGAGGUUUACAAUGUGUGCACAACAUCUAACAUGCAAAUGUUCAUUUGACAAUAUAUUAGUUAGCCAAUCUUUCAUCACAUUCUUUAAAUAUAAAAUAGUAACACUAUUAGAGCUUACAUUGUCUACUGUAACAGUUAAAAGUUUAUCAAUCCCCCAAUCUAACAAACAAUUCUCAAUAACUUGACCAAUUGUUUCACUCAUAUGAUUGGAAACUUGACAAAAAUUCAGAAUUUUUUUAUGCAAAUUCCACUCACUAUCAAUCCAAUGAGUCGUUAAGGACAUAUAGUUAAUGUUUUGGAUUGAUGUCCAUGUAUAUGUUGUUAAGCAUAAUCGUUGACCCUUAAGAGCUCUCUUUAAUCUUUCCUUCUCUUCAACAUAAAGUUUUAAAUAAUCUCUCAUAAUAGUGAAACGAGAAGGAAUGUCAAAUCUAGGCUGCAAGGUCCUAAAAAAUAAUCUAAAUCCCUUACCCUCAACAAAAUUAAAAGGCAACUCAUCAAUUAUAACCAUUUUUACUAGUGCAUGUCUACAUUUAUCAUAAUCAUAACCUAUUGCCUUAAGAGUUCCCACACUUCGAUCUCCUGAUUCACCCCCCGCUUUAUUAGGUUCUAAUACCAAAAGUUUUUGCUUCUUAUCAACCACAAAAGGAAACUUUUUGUAUACUUUUAAAUGACUCCGCAUAUUACUUGUCCCAUUAAUAAUAGUAUGACAUGCAUAACCCUUUUCACAAUAAUUACAUUCAGCUCUAGGGAUUGUAGGAUCACCAUCAAGUUUGGUAAAAUGAUAUGCUUGGCAAUCAGACUAUAGUUUACCUCACCCCCACUCCCAUCAAAAUUCAAAUGAGAAGCAUGUUAUUCUGCAUAUGAUCUGCUUGGAAAACCGUAAAUAGAAGUGUUACCCCUGUUCAGGGAGCUAUUGCUACAUCAUACAACAUGUUUACUAUUUGCUAAGGAGCUUCACCAUUUAAAAAAAAAACAGUAAAACCUAUAUCAUCCAUUCAUUUCAGAAGCAGUGGAAUGGUAAGUGAUAUUAUCACACUACAAACCAGAACUAGGGCAUAAAACCAACACAGAUAAACAUAAAAAGGAAAUCUCAAAACUGAUAAAAAAAAUACUAAAUGAAUAACAUAAAAAAAAGCUGACCAAAAACUGGUAGAUGAUAUGGAAAAUGGAAAUGCAAGUUUUAGCUGCUAGAUUUCUAUGUUAUACUUAUUUCAGGUUUUAACUUAUAAUCAUAGGUUCUUUAGACAGCAGGUACAAAUUGUCGAAAAAGGUGUUUGACUCAUUUUUUAUUUUCUAUCAAUUCUUAAAAUUUGUGUCCAAGCUAAUUGACAGCUUCUGUAGAGCUUAUUUGAGUUAUUUUUGUUUUCAUUUUUUGCAGAUUAUGUUUUAUGAAGCCUUGAAAGAUUUGGCAGGUUAUCUUAAAGACUUAAACAUCAUUUUUCUUGUGAUGAAACUAAUUUCGUUCACAGAAUCACAGUAAUAAUAGCCAUGAGGAGACACAACACUAAGCAGGCAUGAAUAAACAUUGAACAUAAAAAAAAACCAAUACUAAAUACGGAUGAUUAUACACUAUCAAUAAUUAAAUAGAAAUUCCUAACAAAUUAGUAAAGCAAUUUGAUAAUCAGUAAUUUCAACAAUUUUUUUUUUCUAACAAUAUUGAAUCAAAGAAGGUCAGUAAUCAGUAUCCAAAUUAACUUGAAUAAUCUAAAAAACACAUGAAUAAAUUCUGACAUAUAUGAAACAACAAGCAGAAUGCCUUCAACAGAAUCAGCACAACAACUGUAUCCUUAUUCUUUGACCUCUACAUUGAAAAAAAAAACAAAUACAAUAAAUUAAAUAGAUGAUAAACAGAUAAAUCUAGGCAAAAUAUGAGCAGCCAUUAGUUAAUUAAUUAAAACGGAAAAAACAAAAUUAAAACUCACUGCUAUAGAACUUAUUCGGUUUCGGAGUAAUGGAGAUUGUGGAGUACCAUGUGAUAUUGUGUAGAUGAAGAGGAACGUCAAUCUAUUUAUGAGAGGCUUGACUGGUUUCAAAUGAUGGAAACACAAACUAUUUUGGAUCUGUGUAACCGUGUUUCUAUUUUCUAAGUCUAAAGAGACUAAAAAGGGAGAGGCGAGAGGGUGCGGGUGCUCUGGUUAGGGUUAGUGGCCAGGGAGAGGGGAGACGGUGAGGGCGAGGGAGAGUGUUACUAUGUUAGGGAAUUAGGGUUAGCGGAGAGAGGCGAGAGUGGCAUCGUUUUCUAUUUAUAUCGUCAACACAAAACACUGGUUAGAGACCUUUUUUUGAACCGGUUCGGUUCGGUCCGGGUUAACCGAUUCCUGCAUUACAAAACCGAACCGAAUCGGGAUUUUUUCUAACUAUUCUAAUCGGUUUAAUCAGUUUUUUUUCUCGGUUCGGUUUUUUUUUGCUCGGUUUAUUCGAUUUUCUGUUUUUUUUGCACACCUCUAGUGUCAGGUAAUCUAAAAGGAUGUUCGGCGCAGUUUUUGUUUUUAAAUGUUUUUAAAAAAACAAUUUAUUCAAAAAAAUAUUAAAUUAAUAUUUUUUAAUGUAUUAAUAAAAAAAUAAAAAUAAAAAUAUUUUAAUAAAUUUUCAAAAUAAAAUUAUUUUAAAAAAUACAUUACAUACCCAUCUCAAUUUGAUGUAAAAUUAGGAGCAAGCGAUUUUUUUAUUUUUUUUUUCAAUGUAAAAUUAGGAGCAUGCGAUCCUUCCUCAUAACAAUUAACAGUGGUAAUGUUUGUGGUCCCUACAUCUGGCGGCUAUUAGCACGAUACUAACCAAGUACUCGAAUUCGCUGCUGGGAGGAUUCCAUUCCAAUAACAUGCAAACAUUAUGAAUGCAUUUUCUAGAAUAAUUAAAAAAACAAAUUAGAAAUUAAGAAGUUAAUAUAUGCGACGAAUCACUUUUUUAUCGGUAUAUUUUUAUUAAAAAAUUUCGGAUAAAAAAUAAUUACAAAUAUAAUUUUUUAGGAAAACAAAGCUUGGCAUAAAUAAAUUCAGGAAAAAAGUUAUCAAUGUGAAAAUAAAAUUAAGAAGAAAAGUUAUAAUUAUAAUUGUUAAUAUAAAUUCAUUUUUUUUCUAUUAAUGCAUUUUUAAAAAAAUAUUUUUUUUUUGUUAUAUAUAUAUUGUUUAUUGCAUACAAACUGCAAGCAAUUAAAUUCAAUAUUUAAAAAAUAUUAAUGAUUUAAAAAAAUAUAUUAAAAAAAAUCUUUUUAAUAUUGCAUGGAAAGUGAAAGCAAUUAAAUUCAAUAUUUAAAAAAAAAUAUUUUAAUCAAAAUCUCUUUCCAUUAAAAGAUUUAAUGAUUUAAAAAAAAGACUUCUUUUUUACAAAUUUUUUUUAUAAGAAGUAAUGUUUUUUAAAUAAGAACUUAUUAUAAUCUUAAUAAUAAGUGUUAAUAAAAAAUAAUAAAUUUAUAAUUUUGACAUGAAUGUAUUAAAAAAUAAUAAUAAUAAUAAUAAUAAUAACAAACUUGAAAACAUAUAUAAAACAAAUAGAUAUUUCAUUUAUAUUUAGAAAAUCAUGCACAUUAAAUUUAUAUAUAAUUAUUCUGAGAUAAAUUAUUAAUAUUAUAAUAUAAUAUACUAAUAUUAUUUGAAAAUAAUGAUAUAAUUGGAUUAUUAUUUAAACAUCAUUUAAAUAAAUUUAUUUUAAAAUAAUCUAAUUAUAAAAUGCUAAAAGAGAUAAAAAAAAUACAAGGCUAAGCAAGCACGGGCUAGAAGAAUAAGCCUACAUGUUCGGCCUACAUGAAAACCUAUAGGUUCUGGGGUCUAGAAACUCAAGUUCGCAUGUCUGAUUUUUCUAAAAAAAAACACGAUGUUCACUUUUAUUUUUAAAAAAUUAGACAAAAAAUAUGUUUUUUGACAGUCAAAUUACACAUUAUUUGUCUACUAUUUUUUCUAGUCAUAAAAAAUGUCUUCGUGAUUGAAAAAUUAGGAUUCAAAAACUUGAACCCCAAAAACCUAGAAUCCAACCAUUUUCCAUCCAAAAAUAUAAAGAAAAAAAAACAUUUAAUGAACCUCCAUUACCUCGAUUUUAAUAAUAAAAUAUAUUUUAAUUAGUUUAAAAAUUCUAAAUUAAAUCAAAUUAAAAAAAAAAAACUCAUGCACUGAAAAUGGCCACGCUUCUUAGGGUUUGGACUAGGAUUUGAGACUCAUGGUUUCUUGUUGGUCCACUUUGAGUAUGAGUUCUCAUAUUUUGUAGCUUCCCUUCCCUUGAACAUUCAUUCUUGGUAAAACAUGUCAUGAAUUUAUAUAAUAAAAACAAUUUUUAUUUUUUAUUUUAUUUUUUAUCUGUCACGUAACUAAGUUUCAUCCUCUUUCUCGUCUCGUCCGUUCACCAAACGCCUCCAUGGUUAUUUCCAUGAUCAAUAAUCCAUUGUCUUUUAAACAACCAUUAAUUUUAUUUGUGGUGGGCAGUUACUGCUAAACAUUCAGUGAACUUGAAAUGUGUUUUCAAGUUUAAGUUUAUUUAGGCCGUCUCUGGACCACUGGUCCACCUUCCUAAAUAUAGACCAAAUUAACAUGAUGUGAAGAACAGAUCCCAUUGUGAACAUGAUAAUCAAAUCCACUUUGAAGGUCCCCCUCAAAGUUUUGUGAUUUUCGAUAAGAUUCCCAGUAGAUGCACAGAAACCCAGAAACCCACAUACAUUUCAUCAAGAAAUACCUUAGAAAGGUCUAGAGGAACAUUAAUCAGUGGCCUCACUGUGUGUGUGUGUGAAGGAGCCAUGGUUACGCUCAACUCUUGGAAAGACCAAUUAGUCUUGCUUCGAUCGUUCUUUGCAUAAGACCAAUAUCCGGCUUCCUUGGCAACCAAAGAAGAGAGUGCGCGUUCAUGACAUGUUUAUCAUUAAUAUCAUUGAAUUCUUGAACGUCGAAUUCAAUGCCUAAAACAUGGUUGUUGGGGGUAACCAUCAUUGGUGCUGUUCAAGAAACCAAGAUGCCGUUGUCAAGAGGCACCUUCAAUACCUAGAGAAGGCACGAGAAUGAAUGCAAAACCAUGACCAGGGGGGGAAUUGUUGUAAGGGGUGAUGGAGAAGGUGAAAGAGGACGAGAAUGACAGGAGCUUUGAGGAGUUCGGGUAUCUUAUGGGAAUCCUUGUAGAGGCCUCUACCACCAGAAAAUGUGAUGUCUCCGGUGAGGGAAAGCGUGCCAGAUUGUAGCUCUGCAGUGCCAUAAAGUAACAAGCUCGAAGAGCUGAAACUGUAACUCGACUGCUAUUGUAAAUUGGAGAAAGGAGUUAUUUAAGAAGAAUAGUAGCACAUGGUGGAGCCCGAAGCUUCAAGAACUGGGUUCGUUACUGUCAAGUGCCAUCCAUCACCGGUCUUGUAAUUGCAACUUAGUGCAUGCACCUCCUUGUUUUGGAAGGAUAAUAACGCACUCAGCAGAUACUCUACAUCUUGGGUAUGGUGGAUGCAACAUUUGUCUUUCCACACCGUGGAAUAAUUUCACAUCAUCCAGAUACUCUACAUCUUAUGGCUAAUACAAAUGCUCUCCAAGAAUGGUCAAUAAUUUUGAGAUUGCAGUGAUAGUGGAAAGUAAAUACAUGUGAUAAAUUGCAGAGGGGAGAUUUAUCAGUGAGCUAUAAUCUUGUAGCUAAAAUGGCCACUAGCUAUCUUUCUAAGAACAUAUACAAAAACCCCAACCAACGGUUUUUAACUCAUAUUUCACAUAAGGAAACCACCAAUCAAAUUACUCUUAAGAGUCCCAGCAAUACUUCUCAUGUGGGGCUUACCUCAUCGACCUGAAACAAAUAAUGAAUUGGCUGAUAUUUGGUAGCUUUCAGCCUGGACUUUUCUAACCCUUGCCUUGUCAAAGCGUGCUCGUCUAACAGCUUCUUGGAUCUGGCGAUCAUGAUCCUUCAGCAUCUGAUCCAUGUUCCCCGAUGGAACUAUCAAUGGACCAGAAUAGUGGAUUUUGUGAGCCUUUGACCCAUAGCCAAGCUGGAUCCAAAUUAACAAGAACCAUGAAUCAGGAAACACACAAAAAAAAGGCUCCUCAGAAUUCAGGAAACAUGAAAUUGUAAAUCAAUCAACUUAGAAAAGACGGUUUAUAAACAACUUGCAUGAUAUGAUGCAGACCAGGACAAAGCAGCCAAGUGGUUAAAAAAUUCACUGAAAGGUUAAGCAAAAAAGCAAAAAAAAAUAAACAAACAACGAAAUAAAAGAAAACUGAAUUGUGAAGUGACUUACAAGGACAGGAUCUUUACUGUUAUUUCUCCCAUCUUCCUUUUGGUGGGAACCUGCAACACCCUGUGACAGACGCUGUGGAUCCUGUUGGGCAAAGGAUUCUGAGGUUUCCUUGAAGGAUCCUGGAAACCGUGCCAUUAGUUUUGGAACUUCCGGUUGUGAUAGGCCAGACCUUUCUCUGUGAUCUUCAGAUAAUAAACUCCUCCGCGCCGCCUCUAAGCUUGAAAUUGUUGACAGGUCAGCCCCCGUGUAAAUCUUAGGAGCAUCAUCGGGGUUUCUGCCAGCCUUUGCCCAUCCAGAACGGUGAGACAGUGGCCCAGAAUGUGAGGCUCUCUUAUGCUGAUGACCCUGAGGAUCCAUGUUUGAUUCUGCAGCUUGUGAUGGUCUAGGGGGAUCAAUUGGAAAGCCAGAAGCAACUUCCUCAGGAUGGGGAUUAAACUUCUCACUCCGGCUCUUGGAAUUUGGACGACCAUGUCUUUUCUGUAAUUAGAGCGCAAUCCAUUGAUAUAAAUUUCAUUAGUAAAAUCAAAUUUAAUCAAAUGGAGUGCCAAAAAAUAAAGGGAGUCAACAGUAAAAGAGAUAAUUCAUGAAAAUAGAACAGCAAGAAACAAUCAAUUGUUUAGGUAAUAAUGCUUAAAAGAGGGCUGGAGCAGCUCAAAAGGACAGUAGUCAGAUGUAGUUUGAUAAAAAAAAAAAGUAUGACUUGCUGCUUUCAAGGCAUAAGGAAGAUGGAGAGUGCGAGAGAGAGGACAAAAGAAAGAAACUAGAUAAGAUUUCUUGUGUCUCACAAAGUGCCUUUUGUACAAAGCUGUUUUCUGUAGUGGAGAAUUGCAAUUUCCAUGUGAUCAGAAUGGCAAGAUGGCACAUUACUUUAUACUUCAUUGUUCUGAGAAGAGUGCAAUAAGAAGUGUUCUAAGACUUCGUGUUAUGACUGGCUUGUUUACUAGUUUCAUCUAUAACAGAGCUAGCUUUAAAAAUAACUUCCUUUCUCUUCUGACCAAUCUUUCAACUCAGCAAUUCUCUGAACCUCACCACAUGGCCCAGCAAGCCUACAUACCCAUCUCCUAAUCACAAUACUUCCCCAACCGCACACACACACAUGCAAAAAAGUGUCCUGAGAGAGCUAAGGUUAUCUUAAAGAAAUCACCUGCAUUGAUAAAACUAGCUCAGCAUUGGCAUCAGGUGCUGGAACAGCUCGAGAUUCUCUUUGCCCUCUUCUUUCCAUGUCAGGUUUCUGGCCCUUGCUUCCUGCUGCUCCUUGUCUGUUUGUGUGAACAAAAAAUGGGAUUGUUAGCAAACUACACUACAUUUACAAGUCAAGGAUUCCAUCAGUGAUAGAAGCACGAAGGAUAGUUUAGUGGAUCAGUAAGAAACACACAAUAAGCAAUAUGAGCAAGGGCACUAAGGCAACUGUCACAACCAAAAUACAAAAUUAUGUAAACAGACACUGCAUUCAUCUGAUUCAAAUUGAUUCCUACUUCAACUAUUUUUUCUCUUUUCUCAACUAGUGCACGCAACUUCUAUAUUUUAACAAUGCCAUUAACUGCGGCCAACAUGCCAAAAACGAAAUCUUUUAAAGCUUUUUUUCCGGGCCUUUGCCAGAAGCCUUCCAACAAAAGAUUAAAUGAACAAUAAAUUGGAGAAAAACUUUUUUUCUGUUCUUUUACAAUGUUUACCUUCUAGCUUCUUCAUCUCGCAUUUUUGCAUCAAACUCUUUGCUAGGAGGAUAAUCAGGCAAACUUGAAGGAUCACAAGGAAGCGGCUUGGUCGUAAAGAACUUUAAACAAAACUAAACAAGUCAAAUACAAAUUAACAGAAAGCAAGAGAGAGAAUUGUAAAAUAGAACUAUAAAUACUAGAGCCAACCUCAGCCAGCCAUGAAGAUUAUACUCAUCUUAUGAUUUAUUUAUUUGUCUAAAAAGAAAAGGUUAAAUGAACACUUGCUACCAACUGCUUUGGACCAAUAUGUUACAUUAAAUGGAUGGUAUUUCUCCAAAAUUAUGUUAAGAUUACAAAAAAAAUAGCUGUGCUGCAUAAGAAGCUAUAAUAUCAAAUAAGGAACUCAAAAAUAAAAAUAUACGAUCAGUUACCAGAGCUACAUCAAAAAGGUUGACAAAUUGCAUGGUGAAAAGAAAACACAAAAAGAACAUACACACUCUUGUACAAGAUGCAGUUUUUUUUUCAAAGAACAUGUUACAUAGAAGGAAGCAUAGGGAAAUGAAGGACGGUUCUCUUUUAAUUGAUCACAGAAAAAAGAAGACAUACACAAAAAGAAGAAAUAACAUAUAUAAGAAAACAUACACAGAAAGAAAACAUCACAGAAAAAAUAAAUAUAUAAGAUCAGUUAACUGAGCUACGUCAAAAAGGUUGACAAAUAGCAAGGUGAAAAGAAAACACAAAAAGAACAUGCACACUCUUGUAUAAGAUGCAAUUUUUUUUUUCAAAGAGCAUGUUACAUAGAAGGAAGCAUAGGGAAAUGAAGGACAGUUCUCUUUUAAUUGAUCACAGAAAAAAGAAAACACUCAUCAACCACCAACUAAAAUUCAAAACUGUUCAUGGUUGUCGAAAAUUCACAAACUAAAUGUGAUACACCAAAAUAUACAAAGUGCAUAAAAGAGUGAAAUUGUAGGAGUCUUCGAGUGAGAUCAAGGGACAGAAAAUAAAUCCUAAAAGCAACACAGCAUUUGGCGACAGAUUAUUGAUGAAAACUCAACCCCGUAUAGUUGCAGGCUAGCAGUGACAAAAUGUGAUUAACAGAAACACAAUCACCAUUGAGAAAACUGGGCUUGGGUGCUUUUGUGAAGAAACAAAGUGGAAUGAAUCAAAGGAGCAGCCACAAAAGUUUGGUAAAGUUGAUUAGUUGUGGAAAAAUACAAUGAAGCAUAAUAGAGAGAUCUGAAACCUAAUAUAUGCAACGAGAUGGCUAAAGACCUGUCACAAUCUAAACCCCUUAUGAUACAACUUCAGAGUGGUGUGAAUUGCCUGCUAUUGUGUCUUUGCUGAUGGCACCAGGUGAACUUGAAUGUUUAACAGGAUUUACCUCCGUCCAAUUACAUAAACACAAACUCUUCCAGUGACUUUUAGAUUGCAACAACAUGGUAUCACAUGAGUUGGAAGGAAAACAGACUUCAGUCUCAAAAUGUAUUUCAGUGACAAUAAUAACAAAAAUCCUAGACAAAAUUAUUAGAAAGAUCGAAUUAAAAAUGAAAGAAAUGUUAAUGAGUGAUUUACUUAUUAGGUAAAAAGAAUUGAAAUAUAUGCACUAUCAUGUGUAGCAAUAUAGAUCUUCUAAUUGAAGCCAAUAUGUAUCUCUGAAUCAAAAAAUACCAAGAAGACCAUAAACCACUUUCCAAUGUAACACCAAAUCCCCCCACCCCCAAAGGGACAAAAAACACUCACAAAAAGGGAAGGGGAAUUUGAGAUACAUAGUUCAUGGAUACCUCAUACCUCACUCCUCAGAGCAGAAGCUGCAGAUCCACGAUCUACAGGAUCAAUGGCGAGCAGGGUCUCCAUAAGAGCUAAAGCUGGUGCUGGGAAUUCCUUAAAUGUUUCUGCAACACAGCGUCUAUAAGGCUGCUGAGGCUUAAAGAUAGUCGCAUGAGGCAACUUUGAUUUUCUCCAAUAAUCUUCAGAAGGUGAGCCACACAGCUUGAAAAUUUUAUGCAGCUGCUCCACCUACAAGGCAGAGGCAUGCAAACUAAUCAUCAACAUUUUAAGUAGCUGCACUAAUGUUUUUUAUGACACUUACAUAGAUUAUAAGAAAGCAGAAAAGGGAUACGGCAUCUUGUGAUAAUUAUUCUCUCUUUCAAUCUUUUCUUUUUGAUAAAUCCUUUUUCUUUUUCAUAUUAUAAGAAUUUUGCAAAAGGAUAAAGAAAUUCAGACAUAUCAGACUCUGUUAGGUCUUUGCUUGAGGUCUCUUUUUAAAUAAACUUUUACAAUAGCUUGCAACACUGCUAAAACAUAUUCUUACUCGAGUUCCCUUAUUUUUACCUUUGACCAAAUUUAUAGAAAAAAUAAGGCACCCUCCAAGGUUAAAGUAAACAUCAAGACACGGUUACCUAUGAUCAACACCCAUGAUUUGUCAAAGGUGAGAACUCAUAAGGUAUUAUCACCUAGUGUUUGUGUUAAGUGUUAUAGUAGUAGAAAGUGCAUGACUAUGUUUCUUGCAUUGCCCAACAGCUUGGAAUGUGGAGUUGAGUUUCUAAAUGCUGAAAAGAAUUAGGCACUUCUGCGUAGGGUGGAGAAGAUGUUAAUGAUCCAUUUAGUGGGUUUUUUGCUGACAGGAUGUAAUUCGACAAUCUUCAAAGCAAUAACUAUCUAGAAGUUAGCACGGGAUAAAAUUUGUAUCUGGCAAUAAUUAGUUCAACAUUGUACUUGGAAUGAUGGCCCAUGAAAAAUAAUCUGCAUUGCAGUAUAUUAUAACAUGAAAUAGCAAGCAUCUAAGAGAAACACUCUGUUUGGUGGAGAACCCUAAAAGACAUUUUUUUUUCUCGAGAAUAGAAAAGGAGAGCACCUCAGUUCUCCCUGGCAUAAUAGGCUUGCCAGCAUACAAUUCCGCAAGUAUGCAACCUGUACUCCAUAAAUCAACAGCUAUCCCAUAGUAGGUAGCUCCAAGUAGAAGCUCUGGAGGACGGUACCAAAGAGUCACUACUCGGCUUGUCAGUGGCUGAACCUGGGCAGGAUCAUAAAAACUUGCUAGUCCAAAGUCUGCAAUUUUCAAGAUACCAUUGUUGUCAAUUAAUAGGUUGGAACCCUUUAUAUCACGGUGUAGAACACCACGGCUGUGACAGUGAUCAAGUCCUCGUAAAAGUUGUUGCAUGUAACAUUUCACCUGCCAGCAUAUACAUAUUAGACCACAACAUCCAAAGCAUACAAGCAUGAGUCAAAUAUCAAACCUGUUCUACCUUUUAAGAUUGACAAUUUACACAUGGAUGAUCUUGGAGGAUAAGGAGCAUGUAAAACUAGCAGAUGUUAACAAUAAAAUACGUAUGAAUUUCAUAGUUAGCAGCUGAUAGCCUGUCACGGCAAAAUGCAAACACCCAUUGAAUUAGAAUCUAUUAGAACCAAACUGCCAAAAUUACCUGGGCUUCUGUAAAAUUCAGACCAGGGUGUGAGGCAAGCCCAGCCAAAUCAUGCUCCAUGUACUCAAACACAAGGUACAAGCUGCAUGACAUCCUUGAUGUAACUAGGCCUUCUAACUUUAUUACAUUAGGAUGGUCAAGCCUGCGCAAGAUGUGAAUUUCCCUGGCCAUGAAGCGAACACUCUCAGGUUCCAGGUUAUCAAACCUUACUUUCUUCAAAGCAACAAUCUUCUUCUGAUCAAGGUCACGAGCCCUAUAAACAUUACUGUAGGUUCCCUGGCCAAUCUGCAUUAUAAUAGAAAUCAUCAGAUGAGGGAACCAAAUCCCAAAAGCAGGUCAUUUCAGUUCAAAGAGGACAGCAGCAGAUAAAAAUAACAGGGCAAACCAUUCUACAAGAACUUGUGGGACCUGAAUAGAAUGAUCUGCUGUUGUCAACUACUCAAAAAUUAUACACAAAAAAGUGCAAAUAGAAGUCCAUGAUAUCCAAACAAGAAAUGCUCAACAGCAAACCUGGCCCCUUGGCCCUAGCUUAAAGAGUAAGAAAAUAGUAAAAUACAAUGGUCAGGGACACAGGAUACAGAUUUGCACAUUCAGACCAGCCUAUUCAUGCAAAUCGCUUCAUCCUUCAAGACUAGAAGUUUGAAAAAAUUCAGCCAAAUUAACCAAAACGGAAUACCAAAAGCAGGGAGCAGGAAAUUCCAGCUACUGAAGUUGUUAACAAGCAUCCAUUUCUUGAAUUAUGCGGUAAAAUUAACAAUACAUGUUCAACUAAAAGUUAUAAGCUAUCUGUCCAUAUAAUAGCAGCUCCCUCACACAUCUUUAAAUGCUAUUGUAAAAUUUAAGUUUUUUUCUUUAGGUGAGAGGGGCAAGACAUGAACUCGAGAUCCUGCCGCCUCUCCCCUGAUUCUUGUGGAUUAGAGCUUUUGGGCUAAACUAUCUCAACAAAAUUGAAAAAGACCUGUUACAAACAAUGUUGAUACAUAGCACUCAUCUUCAUGGACCCAACUACAAUUCAGAUAUCACAUACACACAAUGCAAGUUGAAGAUUAUACCACACUUUUAAUAUUCUGCACUUUGUUUACUGUUCUUCCCCCACCAUAUUUGUUUCAAAGUUCCCUCCUUCCUCAGCACACUAACGCUAAUUGACUGGCAGCUUAUCAAAAUUGGAUUCAUUUUAGACCCAUUGUAUCUAUUUUGAUGGAUAAUUAUCUAAAUGUUAUGGGUAUUCCACUAACUAUAAUAAAAAGGGCACAUUAUCAAAGAAUGGUGCUUCUCGAAUAUUCCCCAAUACUAAAUAGCUCUUAAAUUCUCUUAAUAGCCUCUUACAUUUUCUCAAAGCUCUUGGACUCGAACAUGGAUACUUCCUAUUUUCUGAUAUGGUAAUCUCUCUAACCAAAUAAAAAGGUCUAACUACAAGAAAAUCAUUCAAACCUUUAAAGCAUCACUAAUUCCUACACUGUGAUUGCAGAAACAUGGAUCUUUCUCUGGUGUAAUCAGUAUAAGCCAUUCAAAUUCAAACUCUUUCAUAUCCAUACUGUCUCAAGCCUCUCAAAACUCUAUGCUUCUCAAGCCUCCAGGCUCUGACAAGUAAACUGAACUUCUAGCUAACAUUUAUUUAGAAGUUAUCAGGUUCAAAGAAUCCGUCAUUACUCUUAGCAUGUAAAAAUGAGUUAUGCAGAGCUCUUAUGCAUGUUAUAAAUGAGCCUUCCUAAAUGUAUUUUUCACCACCUUGCUUAUUUAUAAAUAUAAAUAUAACAAGCAUACAUACAACACAAAUCUCAAGGAAAAGUCACUUAAUAGCACCAAAAAAAAGUUCCAUAAUUUUGCUAACUGAAUUCAAGCUAAAGCUAUAAAAUUUGACAACACACCAUAUCCAAUGCGUGCACAAAUGAAAAUGCUAAAAAAUGUAACAGUCCAAAAAGGUUCUAAUUCUAAUUAGCAAUCGUCACUUUGUUCAUUGCAUUAUGAACCAAUCGAGGUGUCAUAAGCAUGUUCUUCAACCAUUAAGUUUGAAUUGCUAAAUUUUGAAAAUCAUAAACAGAAUCUUGCUUGCAAUGGAGCAGAGCUUACAAUAACACAUGUCAACGUUGAGCUUAGAGAUUUUUUAUGAAGUUACUUUAAAAGUGGAAAAAACGAUCAUCAGUAAUUGCAGGACGUGUUCUAAACAAAAGCACAUGUCAACGUUGAGCUUAGAGAUUUUUUAUAAAGUUACUUUACAAAAUGGAAAAAGGGAUCAUCAGUAAUUGCAGGACGGGUUCUAAUGAUUAAAAAUGAGAUAUAACAACAAAAACAAAACGAAAAAAAGGGCAUACCUUGUCCAGCUUCUCAAAUGAAUCCGCACGCCGUGGCAACCAACCUUUGAUUGCCUCUCCAGCCACAGCAGCUAGCCAGGAAGGCCACCCAGCUGCAACCUGCUCCCCUUCAGUGGCUUUCGGUAUGCUGCCCAUACCUGGGUGGUGAAGAACUGCAUACUCUGACUUGUCCCUCUUCCUAUCAACAUGCUCAACCCCAUGCACUCUAAGAGACCCAUUCACUUGCUUGUCAAUCAACAUUGUCCUACCAUCAUUACUAUCAUAUUGAUCUUUCGCUCUAUAUGCUUCCUCUCUCCUUGAAGAGGUAGCCCUUGAUACCCUCAAGUCAGACGAGGGCUUACUUGAAAGUCUCUCUCUUGGGCUCUCCUUGCUAUCCUCAAUUGCAGAGGGUUUACAACACAUGCAACCCAUUAUGUACCUAAACCACCUCCAAAAACACCCUUCUCCUUUAGAAUCAAUAAUUACCCUUCAAAAAUCUCAUCUUUACACUUCUAUCCUCUUCUUCCAUUCCCAUUUUCACACAACCAAACUAUACUUCAUCGAAAAUAAGCAAUUAAACUAUGUAUCUCAAAAUCAAUCACCGGAAGAGCAUAAGCAAUUCCCACUCAAGAUUGAAACUUUAAAAUAACCGAACACUAGAACCACACAAUUUUGCACAAUAACUUAACUGUGACUCAAUGACUGCUCUUUUACUGUGAAACUUCCAUUUCCUUAUCAAACCCACCGACUCCUAAUCCAAAAAAGGAAACCAAUUUCCUCAACCUACAACGCUAAAAAUGAAAAAACUAACAACAACCACCACCUUUACUCCAACAACAAAUUAAGAAUCACAACCUGAAAACUAAAUACCUUUAAAAUGUCAUGCCUAAUCUUUUCAGCUAUCGAAUCAGGUGAUUGAAAACCCUCCACCAAACUCACAAUUCCACUACAAAACAAACCCUAAAAACCCAAUAAAAAAAUAUAGAACCCAAAUUACCAAAACAAACAAACAAAAUCUAAAGAAAGUAAAGAACUGGAAACACUUCAAUAUAAAGCAUGCACCUUGAAAAUGGAAACCAAAAUGGUAAUAAACAAUAUUGUGAAAUGAGAAUUGAAGGACCUCCUAGAGAUGGAGAGAUCUAGGGAAAGAGAGAGAGAGAGUGGAGUAGUGUAGAGAAGAUGACAAGAAAAUGAAAAAUGAGAAUAAAUAUGUAAUACAAUAAAUAAAUAAAUAAAUGUGAAAGUUAUUACUAUAUAUUAAUAUUAUUAAAUUAAUUAAUUAAUGAGAUGGCGCGUAAGAACAGACAGGCUUUUAGAGAAGACUGAGAACUGAAGAGUGAGUGAAGACCCCAAUGCGUAAAGACAUUCUUGGUUUGUGUCUUCUUCUAUCCCCACGCGCUCUGUUUAUAUUGACACGUGUAUAUUUUUUCUUUGCCUUCGUUUUUUUUUAAACAAAACAUUAUUUAUCAUUUGAUGAAUAAUCUCUCUUUAGAUUUUUUACUGCCAGUUUAUACCUGACUGAAUAAAGUAAAAAAAAAAACUAAAUAGAAUAAUUUAACAAAAAAAUAUUAAAACCUAUUUCAUUAAUUUAUUUAACUUGUAGUUUAACCGAAUAAAAACUGAAUGUUACUGUAUUAUUUUCAAUAAAAAAAAACUUGUGUAUAUCAUAAAAUUUUCUCAACUUUAUAUAAUAUUAUGAUAAUACAUAAUUAUAUAAUAUAUGUGUCAAAUAUUAAUGUUGUUUUAUGAAUUAAACCCUAGUCAAUAUUCAUAAUAAAAACAUAUCUUAUAAUGGUAUUGUAGCUUCACAGGAUCCGUUUUCAUCUAUGGUAAAAUUUCUGUGUUUCAUUUUUUACCAUGCUUUAUUAAAAGAAAAACUAAAAAACGUGAGAGUUUCAAUGUAACUCUAUAUAUAAAUUAUUGUAAAUUAUUAUAGUAAAAUUAUUCUUUUACCUUUAAAUAGAAAAAACUUAAGUCCUGAAGUUGGGGUUUUUUCCACUUACCUAUUAGUUAUUGAAAAUUUUUUUGGGGAUAUAUGUGUUUUUUCUAAUUUUUUAUACAGUAAAAUACUUUUUUUAUUAAGAGUCAACAAUAUUUAUAAAUAUUGACCAAGGGCUUUCUUGAUUUUUCUCAAAUUUUUUAACAGCAAAAAUAUUUUUUUGCCCCCGAUAUCAAAAAUUUAUGGAGUUGUUGGGCAAAGGUGUUUAUGGUUUUUUCAUGAUCUAUAUACAGAAAGCAUAUUUUUAACCUUAUAAAAGACCAAAAAAAAAUAAGUUUUUCCUUUAAGGGUGUUUUAAUAUUUUCAUAUGAGUAUUCUGUGUAAUUAACAUGUUCAUGAGGGUGUUUUGGUAUUUUUCACAUUUUCUUUUCAAUUUUUUAUUCUAAGAUCUGUUGAAUGCGUGUUCCAAACAUGCUGAAGAGUGGAUGGCGUUCGUGUCAUUCAGGUGAUGAUGAUGGUGAUAAUUGUGGUAGUGAUAUUUAUAAUGAUGAUGAUGUCAUCGUCGUCGUCAUCAUAAUAAUAAUAACAAUUUCAUACUCACAUUUUUUCAUACUCACAUUUUAUUCAAAAAAUAAUAAUAAUAAUUUAUUAUGAUAGUUGUAGUGAUUAUGAUAUCAAUAACUAUGGUGAUGAUGGUAAUAAUAUUAAGAAUUAUUAUAAUAAUGAUAUUGAUGGUGGUGAUAUUAUAAUUAUAAUAGUAAUAAUAAUAAUGAUAAGAAUAAAAAUAAUAGUAAUAUUAAUUGUGAUGGUGGUGAUAAUAAUUAUAAAAAUAGUAUUAACAAUAAUAAUAAUAAUAAUAAUAAUAAUAAUAAUAAUAAUAACAACAACGAUAAUAAUAACAAUAAUAAUGGUAACAAUAAUAAUGAUAGUAAUCACGAUAAUAAUACUAAUAAUAACGAUAAUGAUAUUACUUAUUGAUAAUAGUAGUGAUGAUGACAGCUGUAAUGUUAGUGAUAGAAGUAUUGAUGAUGAUAAUAACGAUAGAAUACUAAUGGUGAUAAUUCAUCAUUCGAUGUUAGAUUUGUUAGGAAUUGAGUUUCACCACUUUUCCAUGUAUGGAAUUUCCGGUCUAAUAUUCUGGGUUACUAGUUUGAAAAGUGUAAUUGGAAACUCGUUUUAGGAAAAGAUCCAAGAUAAGAGAUUUCAAGAUUCAUCUUAUUGUCCGGGUUUAUAGCAUUGCAAAAAAAUCUUUGUGCUCUUGAUAAUUUUUUUCUACAUUUUUUAAAACAUGGUUUGGCUCGUGGUGGAGCGCAAAAAAAUGAACGAGUACACUUUCUAUGUAUUGUUGUUUAUCGUUGUUUAGAGAGCACUUUUUUUAUCUAUUGUUAUUGAAUUAUUUUUAAAUUAAAAUUAAAAUUAAAAAUAAUAUGGAUCAAACACCUUUAUUCAAACUUACUAAAUUUAUGUAACGAUCACUUUCUUUAUUUUAUCAAAAUUUCUAAAAACCAACAAAUCUUGAUAUUUAGAAAUUUUCCUAAACAAAUAUAUACCAAAUGUAUUUGUGAUUUGAGUAUUUUUUUUAAACAUAGAAAUUGACGAAGUCAUGAAAUCUUCAUAUUGGAUUAUGCUUUCCACGGGUUGUGAUUUUAGGCUAGAGAAGUGACCGAUUUCACCACUAAUCAAUAAGAUUUUCCUACAAAACAAUCUCAUGUUGGAACAAGAGGUCUUCUAAAAAUUAAUUUAAUAAAAAACAUGAGGGAAAUAAUAUACAUGAAAGUAAAGAAUGUAGGAGAGUGUAUUUGUGAAUGUUGGAUUGGGUGCAUUGUGUAAACUUGUUGAAUAGUUGUUCGUGAUUUCUAAAAUUGUUGUCUGGUUGCUUGUGUGUUUCUGGAAGUGUUGGGUGGUUGCUCAUGGUUAUUGGAAGUGUUGGCUGAUUUCUUGUGAUUACUAGAUCGAGACCCAAAUAAUUUUUCAAGGUCGAGCCAGCCAAAAUAAACUGAAAAGCAAUUUGUUUGGGUUGUGGCCUAAAGGGAUUGAAGGUAGUCAUUUUGGUUUGCUGGCCUAAACAUGUUAUUUAAUUAUUAUUAUUUUAAAUUUUAACAAAUUUAUCGUGCCAUCAUAUGUCCCCCAAGUCUUUAAAAAACAUGUUUGGAAGACUUUACCGAAAAAAAGUAGGGGAUAUAAAAUACUUAUUGUUUUUAUACUGGUGAUGUUACUUGCUUUUGUUAAUGUACAUACAUGAGAGUUCUCUUAAUUGUUUUUCAUCAUUUCUGUGAAGAGAAGAGAAUUUAGUCAAUUUUAUGUGUUCUUCCUAGAAUAGAGAACAUUAUUACUUAAAAGUGGAGAAUAUUUCAUGUGAAAACAACUUUAAAGUAUUAUAAUAUUGGAGAAGUGGAGAUUUCAUUAGAGAUCUCAAGUUGAGAUCUUUAUUGGAGACAUUAGAAACACAUUUAGAGACAUAGAAACUUCGCUUGGAGAUGUGGAGAUUUCAAUAAAGAUAUGAAGAUCUCAUCAUGAAGAUUUUUUAUUGAAGACAUGAAGAUAUGUUUUGGAGACACGAAGAUCUUACUUUGGAGAUUUUUAUUAAAGACAUGGAGAAAUAUUACUACUUUUAUUCAAAAGUUAAUGGAGAUAUAAUUUCUAAAAAUUAUUUGAUCUUGGACAGUCCAUCAUAUGAAUUUUUUUCAGUUUGUUCAGAUUCUUUUUUUUUUCUUCAUAAAUUAUUAGAGGUAUCCUUUAAAGAUCAAUUUUCCCUCUUCUUUUUCAAGGUAUGACAUUCCUCAAUGUCGUGAUCAUGGUCAUGGUAAAAGUGACAGGAUUUAUUAGGGUUCUUUGUAUUUGCGCUGCUUUUCUUAGGGCCAGGUAUCAUUUCCUUGAUUGGUAGCCAACACUUUAGUAUAUGUAGUGAUAAAAGGUGUGUUCAGGAGCUCGAAGAAUGUUAGGCGAUCAAGAAAUGAUCUCUCAGUGCUCUUUUUCGAUGCCCUGGUAGGAGAUCGAUAACAUUACAGAGAUUUUGCUCUCUCUAAAAACGAUGAUGUCCCUAUUUGGCAACAUUGGCUUCUUAAACGAUAAUAAGAAUAGACAUAAACAUUAAAUUGAUUGAAUAAAAUAAAGGAAAAAAAUAUUAUGCUAGGUUGCACAUAUUAGAAAUAUUAUCUAAAAAUAAAAAAACUUAUUUUAAAAAAUAAAAUUCAUCUAUACAAAAGAUAAAAAAAAAAUUAUAGAUAAAUAAGAAAAACCUCGUAAAAAAUUAAAUGCAUAACAAAAAAAAUCAUCAAUUAAAAGAGGCUCUUUAAACAAAAUAAAAGAAAGAAGAGGUAUUAAUCUAAAUAUAAAUAUUUAAAAAUGUAUAAAAAGAAGCAUUAAUUAAAAAAAAAAAAAGGUCAGGUGCAGUAGCUAACCUGUCUAGCCUUUUUGUUGGGGCUCGCGCGACUAGGCCCUUAUUUGUUUUCGCAUUUAGGGUGGUGUCGCCCCAAAUGUUUUUGAAAAAAUAAAUCAGACGACACGUCGUUUGUUUUUGCCCAGAUUCCAACCAUUGCAGUGACCAAAAAAUCAAGGCUUAGGGUUUUUUACCCAGAAACACAUUUUUCAACAUAUUUUUGACCAAAAACACCUAUAAAACACCUUAAAAACCGUAACAAACCUAUUUAUAGCCUAAAAAACCAAAAAACCAUCUCAAAAAUCAAAAUCAACCCGAGCUCAUAUAUGUUUUUUCAUGAAUUUUAAAGGUAAAAAAAUCUAGUAUGAACUCCCCUCAUCAAAUAGAAUUAUUUGACACAAAUAUCGACCGUUUUAGUGGUCUAAAUUGGUAUUAACGGCAUCUCUCUCUCUACCGCUAGAAUCCAGCGACCUCUCUCUCUCAUCUCUCAACCAGAGACUAAAAGUAACAAAAAUAAAUUUUUAUACCGAAAUUGAAUUGAAAAAAUAUUAAGACACCAAAAUUGUAUAAUUUGUUUUAUUUUUAAAGUGCGAUGACCAAAGUAUAUCUAGAUCUACGGUGUUUUAUUUGUGUAUAAAUAGUGUCGGCUCUACAGCUAAAAUCACAUGCCUUUUUAGAUUUUUACUUCAAUUAGUUUUCUUUCUCCAAUUUGAAGGAUAGUAGAUAGGCAUUUUAUUUGUGUAUGAAUCCAAAAAAUAAAUACUCUAGUUUUGUUAACGAAUCACAUCAUGUGCUAGGACACGGCAACAAUUGCAGGGAAAACUUGAUAAUAAAGGAUGGAUUGAUUUGCUGGAUUUUCUUUUCCUUUUGCCUUUUUAGCAUUCUUUCUAUAACUUGAUAAUAAAUAUCGUUAGGUGGGUGAAUUGGAUGGAAACUCUUGCCCCUCAUUUGAAGGCCCCACUCAAAAUAAUCAUGAUCCUAAUCUUAGUAAGUUGAAUAAUCAUGUGGCUGUUCAAUGAUUGAUUUUUUUUGGGUAAUGCUGAUUUUAAUAUCAUUUUCAUCUAUCAAUUUGAUUAGGUGGGUCCUUGUCGCUGACAUUUUUCUUUGGAUGAUUGGAGACUUUUUUGACCUUCAUCCAUGUAUGUAUGGGUUUUAACCAGCAGUGAGAAAAAUAGUUGACAUUUUUCUGCUUUUGACAUUAAAAAUAUAAAGUUAAAAGGUUUUGGAAUACACUAUUUUUAUAUAUCCACUAACAUUGUGGAUAAUAAUAGUAAUUUAUAGUAUUGGUUUUUUUUUUUAGCAUUUUGACCUUUUUUUCCUUUUAAGUAUUGGUUUUUUUUUUUAAAUUUAUUCCUCAUAUGAUAUGUUUAUAGAGAUUUAGAGUAAAUAAUUUAUUUUAAUUUGUUUUUUAUAUAGUUAUCACAAUACUAAAAAAAUAUCAUAGCAUCGAGUUGGUAUCGGAAAAAAAUUUCAGUAUUACAGUAUGAUCUAUUUUUAAAAAAGUUUAGUGAAACAAAAAAUAAUUUAGAAAAAAAAACUAAGUUAUUAAACUUUGUGGAGUCAAUGACCCUGUUUCCGAGUUUGGCGAGAUAAUCCUGAUUGCCUCGGUUCGCGGGUUUUGUUGGGUACUUUUUUUUUCUAAUUGAACUUGAUUAUAUGAUCAUAUAUAUUUUUUUAUCAUAUAAUUAAAAAAUAGUUUAAAAAAAACAUGUUACUAUAUUUUAGAAAGUCCAUGGGCCUAUUGACGAGUUUAACUUUUCUGUUUUUCUUUUUUAAAAAAAAUUAUUUUUUUUAUUUCAUCCUUUGAUGUUAGGUUGAUUGAGAAUUGAGUUUCAUAAUUUAUUUCGUUUUGCUUUUUAAGAGGUUAUUAUAUUCUUAAAAAAAAAGUCUUAGAAUUGGUUUGAUGCUUAAUUUUGCGAUCAUCUAUUUUUGUUAUCAUAUAGUUAAAUAAACAAUAAUUUAUAUAAAAAAACAAGUUAUUAAUCCCAAUGGAGUCCAUUAUCAGGUUUGCGAGUUUGAAAUGUUGACCCGGGUUACCCGAUUCACGAGUUUAGCCAUCAAGCCUGAUAUUUUUUUUUUUAGAUUUUGGUCCUUUAAUUUUUCUAAUUGUCUUUUUUUUUUAUUUCACUCUUCUUUAAUAUUGGAUUGUUUGGGAAAUGAAAUUCAUGGUUUAUUUUUUUCUACUUUUUAUAAGGUUAUCACGAUCUCAAAUAAAAUGUCUUUUUUAUGGUUACUGCUCAAUUUUUCAAGUAUCUAAUGUUAUCAUAAAAUUAAAUAAAAAUAAUUUAUAAAAACAACAAAUUUAAUAAACUCAUUGAACUUCAUGACCUAGGUUACAAGAUGACCGAGGUCGAUCUCAUCUGGUAUCAUCUCAAUAUUAAAAAAAAAUUAUUGUCUUAAAGUUUUUUUAAAAGAUAUGUCAUGUUUUUAUUGGUCAUCUAAGUUGUAUUUAGACCCAUUAAAUUGAAUGAUUCACUUUGGAUCAACUCUUACGCGAUUUAAUUCAAAACUCGAGUAAGGAAAAGAGUCGAGUUGGCAGGUUUCAAGAUCAAACCGCUUGAUUGGAUUUAAUGAUACUACAAAAAAAUAUCACCAUACUCUUAACAUUUUUUUAUGUUUAGAAAAAGAAUAGUCUGACUCACAGUGAAAUGCAAGCAAAUGUAUUAAAACAAGAAUGUGUGACAUAAGCUCGUAUAUUUACAUUGCUCAUAGUUAGAUUAUUGGGGAAUUACAAAAUUGUCAAGAAGAGUGAUAAAUUGAUAGUUGGAGGCAAGGUUGUCAAAAACGCAUUUUUGACACGACAUGAAAAAUACAAAAUAAACUCGGAUCGUAAAAACGGAUCGUAAAAUCGUAAGGAAUUUUUUCAAGAGAAGCCUAUUGUCCCAAAUUCAAAGAAGAUGAUACAAAUAAAACAAUGUUCUGGAAAGGAAUAAACAUUACCAGCAAUGCUUUCAUAAUCACAAAGACACCAUAACACCAUCCCACGCAAAUUCAAAGAAAAUCAAUACAAACAAAACAAUGUUCUGGAAGGAAACAGACAUUACCAGUAAUGCUUUCAUGGACAGGGACAUUGGUGACCAGUUCCUUCACACUCAAACGUUUGCACAACAACGUUGUAAAAUUCAUAAUGUUCAAUCACCAAAUAGUUAAAAAACCUGCAAAGAAAAAAACAUCGCAUCAAAAGUUUGAACCAUCAAUAACAAAAGACACGCUGAAAUGCAGAGAGAAAAGAGGACACGAAGCAAAGCAAAACCAAGGUUUUUAUUUUUUUUCUUCGAAUACAUAAACCUGUUCAAACUGUCCACAUAGCAAAACAACAACAUUGAGACCUGCCAACAUUACAGGUAACCUCCAUAUGCAAUCUGUGAUUGUUCCUGCACAAACACACUAAUCAGUUCUACCCCAUAGAUUGAUCCCUGAAGCUUUUUCUUCAGAAAUGAAUCCUUUGCUCUUUAAACUUUAAACUGCAUCCUUGAUAAUUUGCUCCAUGGGAAUAAAUUCUAAACCCAAGUCCAUCAGCUUCUUGGCUCCAUUCUUUGCCCUUAACAACCCAGGUUGGGUAUCCUUCAGCAACCUACACCAAUAGGCACAUUAAGGAUCAAGCAGUAAUGAUUCAUACCAUCAAACAACCAGAAAGAAGUUUUAAGAUCUCAAUGAAGCAGGGGUGGCAAUGGACAGAAGUUUGAUCCACAACACAACAACAAGCACAACUUUGUAUGAGAAUAAAGAGCAAGACUAGUUAAAUUUAAUGUUCCCAAAUUCAAAACCCACAAACCACACUUAUCAAGAAAAUCUAAAUUCACCUCAAAUCAGCCUAUAUACUGAUUUUGCGAAAGAAAUUAUCAUAAGAAAAAUUGGUCUCAUUUCACAAGUUCGAUUACCAAACUUUGCUUUUACUGUAAUGACACCUAACCUAGCAAUAAUAAUCUACUACAAUUUGCUCCAAUAAGAGUUCAAACAUUCUGACAGCUUAACCAAUUAUAUAGACCGACCUCCAGAUAUGAGAAUAUUCAAGAAAUUGGUAAAAGCUAAACAAACAGCUGAAAUAUUCUUCUGAUUUGGGGUUUCAAUCUAUAAUCAGUGUUGUCUUUAGGGUUUUUGCUUUCCAGCUAGCAAGCUAAAGCAAAGCUUAACAUAUAUGAGGACAAAGUGAUAGUAUGCUUGCACGGUUUCACCAUUAUCGUCCAGACUUCCAUAAACAAGUGCACUAACAAGAAAAAAAAAAGAACAAAAAUUGGUUGUUGUUUGAGUUUUGCCUAUGCAGAGACAAGACUCGGUGAGUUGUGGAGGCAGAGCAGUAGAGGUGAGUUGUGGAAAAAGAGGCGAGACUGCGAGAACCCUUGAGAUUUGAGAAAGGGGAAAGGGGAAAAGGGAAAGGGGAAAGGGGAGGGUGACGGUGUGUCGGGGAGGGGAGACAGAGUCAGUUUAUUUUUUUCACUCUCUAUCAAACUCGUUAACUCGGUCCGUUUUUACCGAGUUGACCGAGUUUGGUCGAGUUUGACCGAGUUUGACCAUUUUCGAGUUUUUAACUCGAUUUUACAGGUUAUAUGGGAGUUGACUCGUAAAAUCGUACGAUUUUACGAGUCAACUCGCGAUUUUGACAACAAUGGUUGAAGGGUUAGACUUCAGUUUUUAUCUGAAAAAUAACAUUAACUAAAUAAUUAACUCACAUUAAAUAACUGGUUGGGGAAAAAAUUAAACUUAAAAAAAUUUCAAGUUUGUAAAGAAUUUCUAGGCAGUGUCAUUAAAUUUAGCCUAAGUCAAUUUUAAAAUCUCCUGAUCAAACUCAUCUCUUAGUCCAGGUUUUAAAUUAAACCGUAUGAAAGUUGUCCCGGUAUGACUCAAUUGACCUAAUGAGUUUAAAGUGACCCAAAUAACCAGUAAAAAGUGUAAUUUAACUUUUUUUAAAAAUUUCAAGAUAACAUAAUUUUUUUAAAAAAUAUUGAUACGACAAUAUAUUGUAUUGACCUGAGUUUUGCGGCUUAACCCACCAAAACCAUUACUCGGGUUAUGGACUCCACUUUUAAUAAAAAAAAUUUAAACUACUUUUUAUCUAAUUAUAUGAUAACAAAAAUAGAUGUUUGUAAAAUCAACCACUAACUUGAUGUUGGGAAAAAUCAUGGUGUUUGUUUGAGACCAAAAUAAAUUAUGAAGGUCAAUUCAAAAUCAACCAAAAUUUAAAGGAAAAAAUUGAAAAAAAAUCUGUCAAUAAAUAUCCAAUAUUGAAUGAUGACAUUGGGAAAAAUCAAAGGAAAAAAACCAAAAAAUAGGCUAAACAGACUGGCCUAUAUGGUCCAAUACGCCUCUACCUUCUUUAUUUAUUUUUCUUUUUUAUCAUCCACCCUUUGUUUUUUGAAAACAUAUAUAGUAGGCAAUAUGUUGUAUGUUUUUAUAGAUUCUGACCACCACAUGUGGCUGGAAAGUCAAGCUUCUAACUUAUAGGUAAAAAAAAAAAACAAUUUCAAAUAGUUUUCAAUUGAAAACACCUAAGAAACACCCUAGGGAUCUCAAUAAAUCCAUUUUUUUUAAUCUUAAAUUAGCAUUUAAUCAGUUAUAAAUGAAAAAUCAUUUUAAUCCAUUUUUUAAAAUGUGAUCUACUUUUUUUCAACAAAAUAAAUAAAUAAAAAAGAUCUAAAGAGAACUCUCAUUGUCAAAUGGAACCGAUUAACAAAAAUUAGUCAUUCACUAACUCUUUUUUUUGUGUUUUUAGCGACUUUCCCUUUUCUCUCACAAUUACAUGGUCUAAAUAUGAACAAAAUAAAAUUUAGAACAAAACCUCUCAAUUCCCAAACCAAAUAGACCACAAAGAAAAUUAGACAAAAUCCUAAGGCACAAAGGUGCUAACAUGAUUUUUUUAACGGAAGAUCCUUUUUUAUUUUUUUAAUUGUGGUCCCUUGAUUUUUUUAUUUUUCUUAAAUAAUAAAAUUGGAUUCAUUUUCAUGAAAUUGAGUACCAACCUAAUAGCAAGACUUUUUUAAAAUAGAGAUAACAAAAAAAAUUUGAAACAAAUUAUUAACCUUAAAUCUCAAUAAACACAACAUUGAAGCAUCAAAUUGAAAAGAAAAAAUUGAUGAUCAAAGGCAUAAAAAAAAUAAAGAUGACCAAAGUUAAAACCAUAUAUUUUUUUUAAAUGCCUUAUAUUGUUUUUUUCAAUUUUGGUCCCCUCAUUUUUAAUCUCUUGCAAACAAUAAAAUCAAAUAUAUUUUUUUGUGAAACUUGGCACUAACACCAUGUGAGGAUGUUUUUCUAAGAUAGCGCUAAGCAUAUAAAAAGCGAAUCAAAAUAAAUUAUCAAUCCUAAAUCCCAAUCAACACAACAUUGAAUGAUAAAAUUCAAAAAAAUAAUAACAAAAAAAGGUGUAAAAAAAAAAUGAAGCAACAUUGUGUGAAUAUAUGGUGUUUUGCCUUGUAAUCCACAAUGAUUGUAUGAUGCUUUUUCAGUUUUUAACUAGAUGUAGACUUGUACUACACCACAUGGCCAUAUUAUUAUUAUUAUUGCUUAAAAUGAUGUUCAGGUGAUACGAACAUUUUAAAGAAUGGAGAAAAAUGUGUGACACGAGUCAUAGACCCAACUGGGUUAAAUAAAUUGAUUUUAUUUUAAUUAGAUAAUAAAACAAAUAGGCAAUGACAACAGAUGGACCGAAAAACAUUAUCACGAUAACUUGAAGAAAAAACUUUUUCUAAAAAGGUGAAAAACGAUGUAGCUCAUUUAUCAACCAAUUAAAUACAAGAUGAUAAAAUUAGGUGAAAAUAGAACAAAGAAAAUUGACAUAAGUCAACUCAAGUUAGCAUGACAAACCUAUAACCCGGGUAAUAUAGACCAAGUCAACACGGGUUAGCCCGCCAAACUCUUGGCAUAAGUUAUGAGAUUAUGAUAACUUAAUAGAAAAGAAAAUGAAGAAAAUUACAAUGCCUAUUUUUUUUAAGAGGAAAACAAUGUCGAAUGAUGAAAUAAAAAAAAUAAGUAAGAAAAUGUCAACCCACUUUAACUUCUCAAACUCCUGAUCCGGAUCAUUAGAUCAAAAGCACCCUAUCUUAAAAAACCAUGAUGUCUGAUUCCUAACCAAUCAAAUAUUGAAUGAUGAAAUUAUAAAAAAAAAUCAAUUAAACAAAAGAAUCCAAAAUAGAAAAUAGCAAUUAAACAAUGAAGAACUAGAUUGAAAUAAAAAUAAAUUAGAAAACAACUACAAUUUUUUUAUUGAAGGGUGAAAUUGUAAAUAUAAAUCAAUUUAACAAAAGGACCAAAAAACAAUUAAAAGAAUGAGAAUCAAAUUGAAAAAAAAUAGCUUAUCACAAAUUAGGAUUGAAUGAUGAAAUUGAAAACAAAUUAAAAUUUAACAAAAGGGCAAAGAACAAAAAUUAAAAAUCAAAAGAAUACAGACCAAAGUUGAAGUCUCAAUAAAUAAGAGGACAAGUCUGAAAUUUUGAAUGCUCAAUAUGAAUUUCAAGGGGAGGAGGGAGAAAAGAGAAAAAUAGAAAGAAAGCAUUAUUGUUAACAAACCGCCCCCACUACUGCUGCCUUAUGCGGCCCCAAUAAGGAGAAGAUAUCACGAUGACUCAAUAAACACGUAGAAGGAAAUGUUUUGUUAUCGAGAGACGCCGUAUGCGCCGUUAGAACACUAUGGGAACCUCCUAUAUGCUAACCAUGUUUUUUAUUAUUAUAUUUUAUAUUUAUUAAAAUAUCAAAUUACCCCCAAUCAACUUAAUUAUAACUAAUAAACUAGGUUGAGAAUUCAAAAAAGCCCUCAAAUGCUAGUUUUAGAAUUUUUGCUUUUAAAGAUAUUGUAGUUAUUUUACUGCACUUUAAAAAUAUGAAAUGACCAAGUUAUUUCUGAUCAAUUUGAUAAUGACUAGUGAACCUUGUGAAAAGACUGCAUUACCUCUAAUAGUCAGUUUAAAGAUUUUUGGCGGGAAGAGCAAAAUCAUCAUUACAUUGUUAUAAUUAACAAUGUUUUUCCCUCCCAAAUUAGCUUUUGUUAAUUUUAAUUUUAAUUUAAUUAUAAUUUUCCAUAGCAGUAGACUUUUGGCCUAUAACAAGUUAACUCGAUAUUAUUUGUGGCAAAGGAUAAUAAGAUCCUAAGCAAAAAAAUAAAAUAAAAAAGUUCAAUUGAGUCCUUGAUAUUACUCUUUUUUAAUUUUCUACUUUAAAAAUAAUAAAACGAGGACUUAUAUGUCUUAAAAUGGUACUUGUUUUGGCAUGAGUUUUAAUCGUGGACUUAAUUGGAUAACGUAUGAUAGAUAUAAUGAAAUUUAACUUUUAAAGUUAUUCUAAACAUUACACUAUGUAAAUAAAAUGUUAAAAGAUAGUUCUACUCCAUUCAAUCUUGUAAUGACAAAUAAGUUCUGUAAAAAGAUAAUUUUACCUUGUACGGUUUAAAUUGUGAAAGGAGAAAUAAUAAUUUUAUAAUUUUAUUGUGAGGAUCCACAAUAAAUUAUUAUCUAUUAGUAUAACAGCCCGGCCCAACUUGUCAUAUAUUGUCCACUUUGGGCCUUACUGUCCUCAUGGUUUUGUUCAUGGUGACGCGAGCCCACAUCUGAGCCUGACGCCCCAAAACGCGUAUGACAAGUUGGCAACUAGCACUUGCUAUAUAUUGUCUGCUUUGGGCUUUACCGCCCUCACGGUUUUGUUCCUGGCGACGCGAACCCACAUAUGAGCCUGACGUCCCAAAAAGCGUAUGACAAGUUGGCAACCAGCACUCAUAAUAAGACCAACUACCACUCCCUCACCCGCCGAUGUGGGAUAUUACAAUCCACACACCUUAAGGAGCCUGACGACCCCGUCGGCACAACCGGACAAACAGUGAGGUCGGUUCUGAUACCAAAUGUGACAGCCCCGCCCAACUUGCCAUAUAUUGUUCGCUUUGGGCCUUACCGCCCUCACAGUUUUGUUCCUGAUGAUGCGAGUCCACAUCUGAGCUUGACGUCCCAAAACACGUAUGACAUGUUGGCAACCAGCACUAUUAAUAAGGCCAGCUACCACUCCUUCACCUGCCGAUGUGGGAUAUUACAAUUAGUGUGUGUAAUGUAUUCUUGAUUAAUUUUUUUAGCUUUUGCUUUAAUGGGUUUAAGUUUUAAAGUUUCAUUUAAAAGUCUCCCAAUCAUGCAAUUUGAAAUUCCUACAAUUCAAAUUGUUAGAUUAAUUUAAUUUCAGCAUGAAUUUAUCCCGUUAGGAAUAUAUUGGUUGGGACUUUGAUAUGCUUUGAUAUUACCAUGAUGUUACAUGGAAUCAAAGAUUUCUAAACACAUUUUUUCUUUCCCUCUCAUUAAUUAUAACUUAUAAGUGAAUGGUUAAAAAUACCAGUUUCAUAAAAACAAAAUGAUAAAAAGAAUUGAAAAGAGAUUAUGCAAGAAGGUCCUCUUGUCCUAUAUGCCAAAGAUUUUAUGAUGUUUUAUCAAAAUAUGAAACAUAGAUUAUAUUGGAAAGUUAGGGGUAAAUAUUUUCAGUUCAGUUCGGUUUUUACUUAAAAAAAAUAACCAAAUUAAAAUUUAAAACAAAAAUAAAAAGACUCAGGAUCGGCUCAUGAAAGAAAGCAGGAACUUAUGGAGGCCAUUGAACGUUGGAAUAUAAUGAAAAUUCCAACUUGAUUCAAUGUUGUUGGAACCGGUUUGGCUCGGUCUAAUUCAAUUAGUUUUAAACUCUUAAAUCAAAACCAAACCAACAUAAUUUUUUUGUUUUUCUAAUAUUUAAUUCAGGUUUUUUAGUUAAUUUUUAUUUUAUUUUAUUAAUUUUUCGGUUUUUUUCUCCCCUCUAAAGAAAGUAAUAGAACAUAAUGAAAUUACCAUGAUGCAAGUCUUGGUCGGUCCAUUGAACGUGCACAAUACCUACCAAUACCAUCUCACCUGUUAGCGAACAGUAGCUGUCAAUGUCCAAUAAAUAAUGAAUAGUUUAUCCAUUUGAUAAGGCAUUCAUGAAAUUUAUGGCAGUGUCUUCUGAAAUCGAGACAAGAAACAAGUCAAUGGGACCCCUUCAAGCUCAAGCAUGGUGGCCUCUGAGUUCUUCAUGCUCCACGUAGUUCAACACUUUGUAUUCUAGUUACAAAACUGUAUUAUUAUAUUUCGCCAGCUUUGAUUAAAUAAUCAAGUGAAUUCACAUUAAUAUAUCUGUUUUGUAAUCAACUGCAAGUUAUUUUUUUAAGUUUAUAUAUAUAUAUAUAUAUAUAUAUAUCAACACAUCAAAACUAUUAAAAGAUACUUAAAAAACAUUAAUUUAAUUAUUUUUAAAAUAAAAAAAAUCUAAAAAACACUUUAAAAAACAGGUUGAACCACAUUAUCAAAUACAUCAUUUUCGGAUAUGUUUGGAAUUGUGGUUGUGAUUCAAAAUGUUUUGCGCUUAGAAACGCAUCAAAAUGAUGUUUUUUUAAAAAAAAAAAUUAUUUUUAAAAUCAGCACAUCAAAACGAUCUGAAAACAUAAAAAAUUUAAUUCUUAAUAAAAAAAAUUAAAUUUUUUAAAAACACGGGUUGGAUCUCGUUUCCAAAUGAUCCAUUCAUGGUUGUUCCGAGUAAUUAGCUUUUCAUUAGUACAACGUAAAAUCAAAACUUCUUUUAAAUUGUAGGGGUAACAUUGAAAACAUUUAAAAUAUAAGGGUAGAAGUGAAACAUUUAUGAAUCUCUAGGAGCAGUAUUGAAAUUUACCCUUGUUUUUCUACUGGGGAAACCUCAAUUUAGUCCUCAUAUUUACUUCAACGUCAAUUGAGCCCCAAUCCUUAUGAUUUUGUUAAGUUUACCCCAAGCACAAUUUUAACAUCAAAUCAUUAUAAAUUUUACUUUAUACAAACCAGUUAUUCUCCAAAACAUGAAAGCAAAAGAAAAGAUCAAAGACUAAAACCAGAAUCAAUGAAAUCAGCCAAGAGGAAACAGACCUAAAAGCAUUGUUAUUAAAAUAUAUUUAUGCUUCAUACCUUGCAAGAUAUAUUUAUACUAUAGUACAUACAAGUAUCCAAAGUCAUCUUUUAUUUCUUUUAAUAUAAAUGUUUUAAUAUAAGAGUAAGAGAAAUAAAAUAUAAAAUCUAGAAAAUUUUCUAUGAAAUACCAUACAAAAAGUAACAAUCUUUUAAGGGAACGGGUAUAAUAAAAUUCAAAAAAUUCUUCUAAUGUGUAUUCCCACAUAAAUGAUCCUUUUUAUUUGACCUACAAAAACAAAAAAUAAUUAAUUAUAAUAAAUUAAUAAACCCGGCAUAACUCGGGUGAGACCCGACCUUUUUUUUAUAUAUUUUUUAAUAAACCCAAAAAAUGUAAAGUUAAUGUGUGAAUACUUUAACUUUUUCAUGUGGGAUAACUAUAUUUAUAGUCUAUAUCCUCAUAGAAUAUUUCUUAACCUACACUCACAUGAGAUAACAUACACUCACAUGAAAUGUUUCAGAUAGCUAUAUAUAGCCUAAAACCACAUGAAAUGUUUCUUAACUUUUUUAUAUGAGAUAGCUAUAUAUAGCCUAAAACCACAUGAAAUGUUUCUUUUCCAUGUGGAAUAUUAAAACCUCAAAAUAUUUUUUAAAUUUUUUACCGGGUUGACCCGUUUUGACCCGGGUAACUCGUAUGACCUGGACCCGGCCCCUUGGUCGGGUCAACCCUCAGGCCAGGUUUAAUAACUAUGGUGUACACACUGUCAUUUUAAUGUGGAUUUACACAAUGAAAUGAUCAUUUUGUUAUUUUUAAACAAAAUCAUUUAACUUGCUAUUGGAGGUAAAACAGUCUUUUUCAUGGGAUCCAUCUAUCAAUGUCAUAUUGAUUUGGGAGGUCCUGAUCUUUUUACAUUUUAGGUGCAUAUUAAAAUGACUUAAAUACCAUUAAAAGCAAAAAAUAAAUAAAACUGGGGACAUGGAGCUUUUUGAUUUUUUAAUAUUUUGAUUGCACAAUGAAAUGACUAUAUUUUUCUUAAAAGAAAAAAAAACUGAUAUAAAAAAGUAUUUUAGUCGCUUCAUUAUGGUUUUUAAGUCAUUAUCAAUUUUAAUAAGGGGCAUUUUAGUCUUUUAACAAAUAUAAAUAUAAUAAAAAAUUAAAAGAUGGUAAGCGCGUGCCACGUACACACUAGAGAGAGAAGGGCACUAAUGCCUUUUGAAUUGUGUCUGGCACCUCCUAGCGAUCAAAUGCCGCUAAUAUUUUUCUUUUCCUCCCUCCUCUUUCUCCUCGUCUUAGAUUUCACGCCAACCAUUUCAAAUAUCAAACAUGUCUUGUUAGUUUGUAUUUAUAUCAAUUUUGGUCUUCAUUCUUUUGAUUGCUAUUUGUUUUGUUUUUACGGCUUUUUGAAGUUGAUUUUUUAUUUAUUUUGUCCCCCAAUAUUUUACUUCAUUUAAUUUUUGUAUCUAAUUUGGUCUUUAUUCUUAUGAUUACUAUUUUGUUUUUGUUUUUAAUCCUUUUCUUGAUUUGUUUUUUUAAUUUUAUCCCUUAACAUUUUAUUUCAUUUAAUUUUUGUAUCUUAUUUGUAUCUUAUUUUUUUUAUUGCUAUUUUUUGUUUCUAAUCGUUUUCUUGAUUUAAUUUUUUUUUCAAUUUUGUUUCUCAACAUUAUAUUUCAUUUAAAUCUUGUAUUGAACUUGGUACUCAUUUUUUUUAUUGCUAUUUGUUUUUUUUUUAAUGGAUGAUUAGGAUUUAGGAAUUUUGCUUCAUAAUUUUUUUUGUGUUUGCCUUCUAAAGGGCAAUUAUGGUCUCAUGACAUAGGUCACGGAUUUUAAAAAUUAGCCCGGUUUAACUUCGGUCUUUUUUAGGCCAUUGAUUGCUUUUAUGUGGGGUUAUCCCGAUCUUAGAUUUUAGAUCAUAAGUUGGUCGAGUUAACCCGAGUUGACCCAAGUUUUUUUUUUCAUUUUUUAAAUUGAUUUUUUUAGAUUAGUCUUUCAUCAUUUAGUUUGCUUAAGAGUUGACCUUCAUCGUUUUAUUCAAUUUUUUAUGUGUGAGUUUAUCCAUAUCUCAUGACCAGGUCGUGAAUUUGGUAUGCUGACACGGUUUUUUUUAUCCUUUUUAAAAUUGAUUUUCUUUCUAGAUCGUCCUUAAAUGUUUGCUUUGCUGAUAAUUGAGCUUCAUAUUUCUUUUAUUUUUUUAUGAGGUUAUCCCGUUCUCAUUCGAUUUUGUUUUGUUAUCAAAUAAGAUCGUUAAGACUUUUUAAUAAUAUUUAGAAGGUCUAUUUUUGUAAUAUUUAUAAGCAUUUAUUUUUUUAUUAGUCAUUAUCAUUUUUUAUUGUUAUUUGAUUUUUUUAAUAAUCAAAUUAUUAAAUUAAGAAACUUUAUUGAAUCCAUUCAAAUCAUUGAUCUGUCUCAAAUUUUUCUUUCUCUUUUAAAAACACUAUCAUUGUCUGGACAUUUUUUUUUAACAAUAGAAAACAUUUUGUUAGGCCCGCGUCACAGGGUGGGCUACGUUUCCUAUUUUCUUAAGAGAUAUUCAUAAAAGAAGGGUAGUAUUUGGAAUUUGAUGUUAGUUUAUGUAAAGUUUUUGUUUUUUUUAAUAUAUAUAUUGGGAAUGUAGUUUACAGGAAGUUGUAAAUGUAUCGAUGCUGAGGCUAUUUAUCCUAAACCAAAGCAUAUUUGUUUUACAUGUAAGGCUCCGUUUGUUUGCAGGAAAGUUGUUUCCUUUUGGAAAGUGAAUUCCGGGGAAAGUGAAUUCCGAGAAAGUAUUUUCCGAUGUUUGGUAGUGUUAUGGAAAAUGAACUGGAAAACACUUUCCAGUGUUUGGUUAUGUUAUGGAAAAUGAACUGGAAAAUAAUUUAUUAAUGAAUUAAUUUUUUUUCAAGUUUAUCUAAUAUAUAUUAAAUAUUUAAUAUAAAUAUUUAAUCACUUACAAUAAAAGAAUGAAAUCUAAAAAGUAUAAUGAUGAAUUUUUUUAUUAUAUCUUAUAUUCAUACAUAGCUUAUUUUAUAAAAUAUAACUAUAUAUGUCAUAUCAUAUUAUAGAGAAAUAAGCUUGUGAAAUAUUUUUUAAGUUAAAUAUAUUUUUUUUCAAUUUUAAAAGCUUAAAAUAAGUUUUUUUUUUUAUAUGAAGAAAGCCAAAUUAGUUUAUGGUAAGAGUUAUAUAUUACAUUAGAUUAACAACUAUUUUAAUUUUAAUUUUUCGUCACUGGGAACCAAUUAAAUUUAAUUUAGAAACAAAAAUGUCUUGUAAUUACAAUAAAAUGAUUUAUAAAAUCCUUAUGUUUGGAUGCUGGGCCACCCACCCCCCUAAAAAAACGUUCACAUGUUUGUUCACAUGUUUUGUGAACAAAAGAAAGGAAAAUGUUUUCCUUAAAAUAAGGAAAGGAAAACACUUUCCUGGCUUAAAGUGUAUUAUCUUCCUUUGACCGGAAUUUGAAUUCCUUUGACUAGUUUUCCUUAUAGUUGUCAAACAUUGGAAAGUGGGGAAAAUGGUUUCCAGGAAAAUGAAUUCCUGGAAACAAACAAGGCAUAAGGUUGAAGUGUGAUUAUAAACCCUUUUGAUUUGUACUAGAUUUUUUUUACCUGCGCUACGUUGUGGGAUGGGUUUAUUUUUUUAAUAUAAAAAAGAUAUUCAAAUAAUGAUAACAUGAGUGAAUUCAGAUUAACUUAACUAACCUGCGAUUCAAGUUAACCCUAGAGAAAUGAAAGGGAAAAAAUAGAAAGCUCAAGGCCUAAUAAAUCUAAUUUCAAAGGAUAAAAUUAAAAAAAAAGAAACAUGAAAGAAAAAAAACCCGAGUUAACCCAACUUUACUCUAUUAACCUACCACCCAUGACAUGAGAUUGGGAUAAGAAAUUUAAUUUUUUAAAAAUGACUUAGAAAAAAGGAUCAAAGCUAAAUAAAUAAAAAAACAUUGAAGAAAAACCAAGUCACCCUAGGUUAACCUAACAAACCUGUAACUUGAGAUAACCCUAUAGAAAGAAAUAAUAUAUAAAAUCAAAACCUAAUAGCCCUGCGUAAAAGGAUGAAAAAAAAAGAAAAAAAAAUCCAAUGCAACUUGUGUUAACUUAACUAACCCAUGACUCAGGAUAACCCUAGAUAAGGAAAGGAAAAAAAAAUAGAAAGCUCAAGACUCAAUACCCUAAAGUCAAAGGAUGAAAUUAAAAAAAUAAAACAAAUCAAAGUUAAAAUCAGGCUAAUCUUUAAAACCAUCAACUCUUGUCAUGAGACCAAGAUAACCUUACAAAAGACAAACAAAACUCUUCACCAUAAUAUUUUUUUUUAAAAAAUAGUAAUACAAUUAAUGAGGACCUAAUUUGAUCUAAAAACUAAUGAAAGAAAAUAAUAAGGGACUUAAUAAAAAAAUAAAAGGAUAAAAAAAUUUAAAAGAAUUAGGGCUAAAACUAGAUAAAAAAUGAAAUAAAAUGUUGAAGGACAAAUUGACAGAAAAAACAAAUUAAGAAAAGGAUAAAAAAAAAGCAAUUAUAAGAAUAAAGACCAAAAUUUGAUUAAAAAAAUAAAAUGUUAAGGGAAUAAUUGAAAGAAAAAAAGAAACUAAGAAAAAGGAUAAAAAAAAAGCAAUUAAAAGAAUGAGGAAUCAAUUUGAAAAAAAAAAGUGAAAUAAAAUGUUAAGGGACAAAAUUAAAAGAAAACAAAACAGGCCAUGAUAUGGAAAAAAAAUAGUAAAGAGAAUGAGUACUAUAUUUGAUAUAAAAACAAAACAAAAUCAAAUGAAAAAAGGAUGAAAUUGAAAAAAAAUCUAAAAAAAAAUCUAAAACAAUGAAAGACCAAUCAAAAGAAAGAGGAUUAUAAUUGAAAGACAAAAUGUAUUAGAGGACAACUUUGAUUUUUGGCUGACGUAGCACAAAUUUCAAGAAUUGAAAAGAGAAAACAAGGGGACGAAAAGAAAAGUCAACUGUCGACAAACCACCAUGAUUUGAGCAACACGCGCUACCCCAUAAGCUUUGCCUCCACCGGACACUUUAGACAAAAUCUUGGUUGGGAAAUUUUGGUCACUGCUUGACGAGCGCAGAUAGCGUCCACUCCCUAACACGCGUUGUUCACGGGCUAGUAGCCUUUUUUAAUUUAUGAAAAUAAUAAUUUGCCCUAAUCCAAAUAGAGUAUAAGAAAAACUAUAAUAAAAAUAGUAAAAUAUCCUUUGACCAUCUUUUUAUUUUAUUUUUACUUUGAAGUCGAUGAGGUAAUUGUACUAUUUGUAAAAAAAAAGAAAUUAUACAAAAGCUUUCUUAGCCUUUCAUAUUUUUUUUUUGUCUUUUAAAGGCAUUUAUUUAAUUCAAUUAUACUAAAACAAUGUAAACUACUAAACUUUCCCCAAUAAAAUUGCAAAUGAUCUUUGGGUUUUAUGGAAAAUACCAUUCUAGCACCACAAGUAAGGCAAAAACUUUAUACAAAGAAGGGCAAAAUAGUAAUUAUGCUGUCCAAGUCCAUAGUGAAUUACCUCAACAUCCACAACGAAACAAUGAUCAGUUUUAGAGUUUUUUUUUUAUAAUAUUUAUAAGAUAAUAUAUUUUAUGGCCUCACAUAGAAUUCAAAUGCUUAAUGAUAACUCAAAGAAAAAACUCAUUUGUCGACAAACUAAGCCUGCAAUAUUGUAAUUCUUUUGUUUCCUAAAUUAAGUGUAAAAGAUAAUUUUGUCCGUGAUCUAUUACACCACUUUAAAUAUGAUCCUUAAAAACAAAAAAAAAAUCCUACCAGGUCCCUCAUCUAUAGGAUAUUUACUUAUCAAUUCUCAAUUUAAUUUUUCCCCUUUAAAAUCAUAAAAAAAACUUAGUCAUUUUUUUCAAUGCAAUUGGAGCAAAUGAUCUCUUUUUUUCAUCUCUAUUUUUUUCUAGCGACUAUCUCUCAUCUCUCAUACAUAGAGACUAAAAUGUUGAAAAAAAAUAUCAAAGGACUAAAUCAAGUCGACAUUUGUUUGACAACGCAAUAACUCAAUGGUAAUCAAAUUGAUACAAAUUAUGAAACCUGGUCUAUAAUAAACACAAUGUCAAAAGAUUAAAUAAAAAAAUAAAAAAAAAAAUGAAAUCAAGAGCCACUCUAGAUUCCUUCUUAAUGUUUGCCCUUCAUGGUAUGUUGUUCUCACUAAAAUGGAUUUUAUGAAAUUUAUUAUGUUUUGCCUUAUAAAUGCAUGAAUUGAAGUUUAAUAAUCACAUUAAAACCUUACACACGAAAAACAACUUACCUGUAAUAAUAAUGGUAUCAGAAACUCUUUUGGUAAGCGAAUGGUUAUGGAUGUUAAGUCAUGACUUCGUCAUAGUAGAGCACCCUGUAGCUUUUUAAAAGAAAAAAACAAGGGACCUGUAAUGUUUAUGUUUGUUUGUUGCUGUGUCUAACAUAUACCACCAAUCGAUCUUGAAUCUGUGUUUAUAAUCACAGCUGAAAUUAUGUUUUUUUUUAAUUUUCUAUUUUUUUUAAUUUUUUUAUGUUUUUGAAUUGUUUUGAUGUACUGAUAUCAAAAAUAAUUUUUAAAAAAUAAAAAAUAUAUUAUUUUGAUAUAUUUCUGAGUAAAAACAUUUUAAUAAACAACCACUAAUAAACUUUCAAAUAUCAUCUUAACCAUACAUUUGAAUGGUCAUUCAAUAUUUCUAGUGUUCUUACUUAUUGGUGAAUUGAUGAUGCACAUGUUAUCAUCAAUAUUUGUAAUUUCAAAAUCACUUAUGUUGCUUCUACAAAAAAACCAAAAAACUAAUAAGGUUUUUUUUUAUCAUAAUUUUUUUUUCUUAUUUAGACUAUUUAUGAUAAGUGUUUUUUUAUUCAUUUUACGCUUUAAUUAAGAUUAAAAAUUUCUUUUAAACAAUUUUAAAGAUGCACUUCCAAUAUCCUGAUUACUAAAACAUAAAUCAAUCUUAAAAAAUAAUUUUUUAGCAUGCAUAAAAUGUAACUCAUUAAUUGUUUUUUCAAUUUUGAUUUAGUAUUGAAUAAGAAAACUUAAAAAGAUAUUUAUUAUACUAUAUUAAUUAAGUUUUUUUGUCAUGCUUCAUAACCCAUUUUUUACCCCCAGUUUUUUUCAUGUAUUUUCAAAUAUAUAAUUUUUUUAAAGAAUUUAUUUUAAAUGAAAUUUAGUCAAUUCCCAACGUUUUAUAUUUUUUUCAUUUUCAUUUAUUUUAUUUUAAGUGACAAAGAAAAAUAAAAAACUUAAAAACAAUAUAUAGUAAAAAGAAAAAUAAAAAAUUUAGGGAGUGAAAUCACAUGCAAAGGAAGAAAAAUGAAAGACUAGCAAAUGAAAAAUAAUAAUAAAUAAAUAGAGAAUCAAGAUGGGAUUGGAAAAACUGUAAAAAACAAAAAAAACCUAAUUCAAUAAGGAGAUAAAAUAGAAUCUUCCAAUAUUAUUAUUUUUUUUUGACAAAAACCCUUAACAAUAUAAAUAAACAUAAAAAAAAACCUAGAUGGAGAAAAAAAAAGAAGAAAAAACAUAAAAGGAGUCAACUUUAGAAACACAUAGACUAAGAGAGAGAUAAAAAAAGAGGAGAAAAGAUACAAAAAAGGGACAAAGAAAACCUUGCCACAUCUUUUUCAUCUUCUCUCCUCUCUCAAUCACAACUGCGAACCAUUGUUCUUUUCUCCCUCUUCACCACCAAUACCUCCACAAACAUCGACCAUGAUAGUUUCUCCCUCCACCACAUCUUUAUCUCUCUACCCGAUCACAAAACAUCCUUGUUAUUAACUAUAACCUUGGAAAUCAUAGCCACCACAUUAACUAAAAUCGCACUUAUCUCUCUUAUCAUUAUAAAACACUCCAUGGUAGCAACCCUUUGGCAUUCAAUAACCAUGAUCAUAACCAAUAAAGAGAAAAUUGACAAAUAAAAUUUAUCUUUUCAUGUCAACCUCCCUUUUCAGAUCACGACAAGCUUUAUCAUCAACGUAGAAAGGAAAAGAAGGAGCAUGAGAACUUGAUCUAGUAGGUUUAAGGUUUUCAACCUUGUCAUUUUGUACAGUUUAUGUGUUACUUCGUUUACAUGCUUGUCUAGCUCCUGCACAUGACUCCCAUCUGCCACGACUACCCGUUUUUUUAGUAUCUUUUGUUCGAUUCCAAUCGCUCUUGAAGGUCAAAUACGAAUCCUAAUACAUUGAUUCACUUGUUUUUAUCAAUUUGCAAUAUGUGGUUGAUUUCCUAUUCGUAGAUGUUGUAUUUGCCUACAAUGAUUUGCUUGUGUUGAGUAAUUUAUAAUACGAGGUUGAUUUUCUAUGUGUGGAUGUAUUUGUUUUUUUUAUUGUGAGAUUUGUGCUUUAAUUUUCUUAAAAUGAAAAGUUAUGUUUUAUUUUUAUUGAAGAAUUGACCUUGAGUAUGGUAAAAUGGUUUUGUCUUCAUAUGACCAUUUAAGUAUGGUAAAAUGGUUUUUAUUGAAGAAUUGACCUUGAGUAUGGUAAAAUGGUUUUUAUUGAAGAAUUUGCACAUCCAUUAAUUAGUCUUACUUUCAAACCCGAUGGUUUUUAUUGAAGAAUUUGCACAUCCAUUAAUUAGUCUUACUUUCAAACCCGAGUUAUGUUUUUUUCUUCAUAACCUUUUCAAUUAUGGACUGAAAAAAUAGAUUUUAAAAUCAAUUUAGGGGAUUUUUUUAUAAGGUUUUGGAAAAGAUAAGAAUAAUUGAUUUAUAACUUGCAAUUUAGGCAAAAUCACAUCACAAGUAAAGAGAAAAUGAAUCGAUUGAAUAUGCAAGACUAGGCUUUAGUUUUUAUGAUAUUUUGUGUUCUUAGAUAGGAGAGAAGAAAGAGAUUAUAUUUUUAAAUUAAUUUGGGAUUUUUUAGGAGCAUAUUUUGGCUAUUUAUGUUAUAUUAUAUAGGAGGGUAGGUUUGGGUUGUUUAUGUUCACAAGUGCCUUUUAAAAAUAUUUUGCUUGUUGGUUUUUUUUUUUGCCCCUUUAGUCUGAUAGUUCUAUGUUUUGAUAUAAAACUUUAUUUAAUUCACAUUCCAAUUCCCGGGUUUGAAAAAUGAGAUUUAUUGGAAAAUUAUGGAGAGAGAAAGUAAUGGAAUGGUGAGAUUUCGUUGAUAAAAGGUUAAAUUUGGUGUCAAUGUGUUUUUCUUGGCAUAAGAAGUGUUAUUGAGGUAUUUUUGAGCUUUUAUGUUGUUAGAAAAAAUAGAUCGAGGUUAAGAGAAUUUUUUUUUUUAUGCUUUUGAGUUAAUUUAGAGGUUUUUAAGUUGAUAAAUAAAUUUAUCGUGAUUUAAAGGGUAUUUUUGGAAGUAAAAAAAUUGAAAUUUAAUUUUUUAAGUCCUAAAAAUCCUAGCUUGAUUUUCCACCAUCUCUCUAAUGGGUGAAAUUUGAACUCACAAAUAACACAUCAUCUACUUUCUUUUUUAACUCAUUAAAAAAGUCUAAAGGCAUGAACAUGGCCUACUUUUAGGUUUCUUUUUAAUUUCUUUUUAAUUGAAAUUUAAUUUUUGUAAUAUUAAAUAAUUUAAAAUAUUUUAGAUAUUAUUUUAUUAAAUGCCUUUAAAUUUUUACCUUGUUUCUGAAAAAAUAUAUCAGUCUUUUUAUAACAUUAAGAAAUGUUUUUUUUACAACUUAUAAUGAUUUUUUAUAAUUUUAUUUGGUUUCUUUUCCAUGUGCAUGUAUUUUUGCCAUCAUAUAAUUAAAUAAAACGAUAAUUUUUAAAAAAUAAAGUUAUUAAAAUCAAUAAGAUGUGUGAGCUUGAAUCAUGAUUUUAGUGAGUUAACUCAAGUCAAUCCAAGAUGUUUUCAUCUCAAUAUUUUUUAAAAAAAUGUCAUCUUUAAUUAAUUUUAAACAAAAUUAAUUUUUUAUUAGUUACCGAGAUUACCUUUGAACCCUUUAGAUUGAGCAGAUCAUAUCAAAUUAAUUUUCACAUGGUUUAAUUUAAAAUUUAGAUAAAAAUUUAAAUUAAAGGUUUUAAAAAUUACUUAACCCUAUUAAAGAAUCCACUAUAACAAUACAAGAACAUUGUUUUUCCAGCUGUGAUGUCUUUUAGUAAGGAAACGUUUCAGAAUGUAAAUGAUAUUUUUUAAAAAAUUAAUUUUUUUUUGUUUAAAUUUAAUUUUUUUAUAUUUUAUUUUUUUUUGAAAUUUUAAUAUUAAAAAUAACUUAAAAAUUAAAAAAUAUUUAAUUUAUUUUUAAACAAAAUUAUUUUUAAAAAAACCACCACUAAUAUAAUCUUAAAUAUUAUAAAAAAUGCAAAAACAAUAUAAAACACAUUGUAUCCAGAAAGAAAAUAAGAAGACGACUCGCACGCGCACACUGAGAGAGUCAGAUAUUUACCUGCAAAAACAGAAUGAUGAACAAAAAAACCCAUUUUUGAUAAGCUAAGAAAGAAUUCAAAUCUCGCUCUCGUUGGGUUUUAAAUCUCAUUUUCGGAGCCAAAUCCAUUUCUAAAACUUUUUCUUUCUUUUGUUGGCUAAUGUAGGUUGCCUUCUGUUAAUGUUGAGGUUUUGUUUUGUCUAGUUUGGUAUCAUAAUUCUCUUAUGAAUCAGUUUCCCAUGGAAUUCCAUUGAUUUGAUUUAUUAGAACAGAUAGGUAAGAAUUGAAUUCCCUUUCGUUAUUUGAAAGGAUAAAUGGGUAUUAGUGCAUUUGGGAUUUGAUUGAAAUUUAAAAACUGGGUUUUGUUUUCAGGAGUAAUUGCUGGUGGGUUUUGCGACUUAGACCCUGAUUUUGAGGAAACAGGGGGUUUCUUUCUUUUGGUUUGGCAUUGCAUAAGGAGAGGGGAAGUAGAGUUGUAGGUAUUAAAAAUCAGGAGAGAAGUGGGUUUUGGCUUUUGACAGAGAAUGAUUUGUAUAGGAGAAAAGGUGACAUGAGAAGUAGAGUUAUUGUUGGUCCAGAGGUACAAUGAAUGGAGGGUCAUUCGGUCAAAGGGGGAGUUAUGGAUCAUUGCCUUGCUACGGAAAAUUAUCAAAUAUUGCACGAAAACAAUCUUCGAAAAUGCCGCCAGUGAGUUCAAGGGACAAGGAGCGGGUUCUCCUGGUUGUUUGCCGGUGCUUGGGGCGUAGAAGAGUUGCAAUGUUGCUCUUGGUUGCACUUGCUCUCCUAGUUUUCAUCUGGGGUUCCCUUACAGUUAGCAAAGGUAUGGUUCAAACAUGUGUCCUUUCCUAUGAUGUAAAAUGUUUGAGUGUUUUAUGUAUUCUUUUGUUCUACCUGUCCUUAUAUUUUGGUACUGUUGCACUGAGUUACAGGAGGAUGAAAGUUUUCUAAUUACAAGGAAAUAAUCACUUAACAAAGGAAUAGUUUAGGCACCUAUUUAUUAGUUCAUGCUGACUAUUCUAUAUUUAACAGAAAAGAUAAAAUGUAGUAGUGUUUUAAUUCUAUGAGCAUCUUUUAAUUUUUCCUGUUGUUUGAAUGGAAAUGUUUAAGUCAUGUAUUAUUCAUGUCUUGAGAGCAGCUGUAGCAUGCAGUGAGGAGGGGGGGUGGGGAACAAGAAAUAAAGAGGUGGAGGUGGUUCUUCAUGAAUUUUGGUUCCCAUAUAGGUGUGGGCCAUGAUUGAAUAAUGGCCUUGUUUCUAUUAGUUCUCAUUCUGUGCUAAAUCCUUGACAGGAAAGCUGACAGCCAGAGAGUCUUCUUCUUUCUCUCUCUCUAUUUUCAAUCUUGAAUGGAAAGCAUACGAAGACAAAGUUGUCUUCUUGAAUUUAAAACAGGAGAUAAUCAAUCGAUUACAAAUAUUGAUCAGAAUGAAAGAUUCUGUUAUCAAGUUAUUUUUCUGCAUUUAAUUGAUGAUGUCAAAGUCCUGAAAUACUUGGGAUUUUUACUGCUAUUUGUUUUGCUUUAGACUGGUUGAGGCAAUAACUAAUGUGCAUUUUGUGUUAUGGAUGCCCCAGAAACCACAAGUCCAACUGUUAGACCAAUGGAUAGUAUACAUUUUGACAACAGUGAUAUAAUAAGCCAUCCUUCUGUUGCCUGUCGUUCUAGAGCUAAUAGCAUAUUGGACCAUCCAUGCCACAAGUUUGCUCUCCCUCCUCCCCCUCCUUCUGGUGGACGACGGUUUGGACCACGCCGUAAGUUUUGGGUUAUUUUGGUUGAAGUGUUCCUUAUUUUCUUGUUUUUCUGAUCAUUCUAUUAAUAUAUUGGAUUGGACCAUAAGUUUGAGUUGCUACAUCUGUGCGUCAUUUGGAAGUAAAAAAUGACUUCUGGCCUGAAUGUUACUAAAAGUCAUGUAUAUAAUUUUUCUUGCACCAAGAAUGUGCUCUCACAUUUCUGUAACAGAGAAAACUGGCAUGUUUUUGCAAUUAAUGUUAUUAUCUUUCUCAUCAGUGUUUGCUACAGAAGACCUCUUGCAUGUUCAAUUGUAAAUUGAUACAAAAUAACCCUCAAUACCUUUGUAUAAAGUAUGCCAAAAUCUACUCUCUUAGUUGAAGCAAAAAAGUGCUCACAUGCAAUUUAUUUCUGUUGGUGUGGUAUUUACUUUGUUGUCACUCAUUUGUUAUGCAGCUUGUCCAGUAUGUUACAUUUCUGCAGAGCAAGCUAGAGCUAGCAUUCCAUGCUCCUCAUCUGCAUCACCAGUGCUCCGCAACUUAACAUACGUUGUUGAUGAAAACCCAAUUAAAAUUGAAUCACAUGGAGGUUCAGAAUUUGGUGGAUAUCCUUCUCUAAAGCAGAGGAAUGAAUCUUUUGAUAUACAAGAGUCGAUGACAGUGCACUGUGGGUAGGAGUCCUUCUCACCUAUCAUCUUUCUGUAAAAUUAUAAGCAUUGAAGACUGUUUUGCAUGGAUCUCAUGAUCUCUGUCCUCCGUUAUUAUACAAUGUCCUGUAACAAAUACGAAUAACUUAUUUCUUAUAAACACAUAUUUUUCUGUUGGCCGUAUUUUUUAUCAGAUUUGUUAAAGGAAAUAGACCUGGCCGCCAGACUGGAUUUGAUAUUGAUGAAGCUGACCUGAUGAAAUUGGAAGAGUUUCACGAGGUCAUUGUUGCAUCAGCCAUAUUUGGUACUGUUUAGCACUGGACAUUCUGCAAAGAUUUCUUGUUUUAUCCAUGUUUUCUACUUUCCUCAUCAUUGCACUUUCCCAGGGAACUAUGACAUAAUACAACAGCCCAAGAACGUUAGUGAAGCAGCUAGGAAAAAUGUUCCUUUUUAUAUGUUUAUUGACGAAGAGACAGAAACAUAUUUGAAGAAUUCCAGCGCCCUAGAUAGCAAUAUGAGGAUCGGACUGUGGAGGAUUAUUGUCGUCCAUAACAUCCCCUACACUGAUGCAAGACGCAAUGGAAAGGUCAGUUUGCAUUUGUUUGGUUGCUUUGCCUGCUUCUUUCAGAUUUCUCUCUUUAAUUUCCUUGGGCAUCCAAACCUGGGCUGGAUUACAUCACUUUCUUCUUAAUUUUUUUUCUUCCCCUUGUUCUCCUGCUUCUCUGUUAACUCAUUGAAAACAAAGCUAUCAGUUUGUUAACAAAUUUCUGUUUAUCUCUUGGUGAGUCUUCAAGUAAUUUCAAUUUUGGUGCUAAUCCUAGCAUGGCAGAAUUUCCUGAAUAAAUUUCUGUUGAUAUAUUAAUCUAAAAGAUUUUCCUUUUUUUUUCCUUUUCAUUUUUGUUUUGGGCUAUGAUAUUCAAUAGUACCUCAUACUUCAAGUCAUUUUCUUUUCAAUUACUGAAAACCUAAAAUGUUGCUGCAAGAAGUGAUGGAUGCUGUCGUUGUGCUAUGUAAAUGGACAGGUUCCAAAGCUUUUAUUGCACAGGCUCUUGCCUAAUGUUAGGUAUUCCAUAUGGAUAGAUGGAAAGCUCCAGCUUGUUGUGGAUCCAUAUCAAGUUCUUGAGAGGUAUAUUGUUUGUGCUUAAAUUAAGUGGUCAUUGAAUGGAGUCAUUCAGAUAUGUAAAAUGGCUUGUGAAUUCAGUGCAUCUUUUUUUUUAAUUUUUCUGGUAUCUUCAAAUUGAGAUGUAUGGAAAUUUUGUUGUACCUGUGUGUGUAUACUCAUUUUCUUCUGUUAUCUGUCACUGUACCAAUUUCUGGUCCCAACAUGGCAUCACUUCAAAAGUUAUGAACCAUCAUAAGUUUCAUUGGUUCAUCAAUAGGCAACUUACGGGAUUCUGGAAAAAUGCAUGGAAAAUAUAAUUAUAGCCGUAUGCUCUUUUUAUCAGCUGUCUUGCAAUGUUAACAUUAUUACACUGUUAUUGAUCCUACAUUUUCAUUUAAAGCAUUCAAAAAAGGAACUGCUUUUCUUGCUUGGGACAUGGGAAUGUCAUCUUUCUGUUGGUUUACAGUAACUCAUGCUUUGGCAAUGUGUUCUGGAUAUGUUGACUCAUGUUAAGACAGUUUUUUUAGUGUUAGCAUUUACCAUAUAGAUCUUCAUGCAUAUUGCAUUUCUGGCCUCUAGAAGAAGGGGAAAUAGGUAGAUAAUUUUAGUAUAAUUGCAUAAUCUAUGUGUUUGAAUCAUACCUGAGCUGUCCUUUGGUUCAGAUUCUUGUGGCAGCAAAAUGCCAGUUUUGCAAUCUCAAGACACUAUCAUCGCUUUGAUGUGUUUGAAGAGGCUGAAGCUAACAAAGCUGCAGGAAAGUGUGACAAUUCAUCCAUUGAUUACCAGAUUGAAUUUUAUAAAAAAGAGGGUUUAUCGCCAUAUUCCAAGGCUAAGCUUCCAAUAACCAGUGGUAGGUGUAUAAUCCUAUGUGUGUGCGCACGCGCUUCAUGUUCUUGAAGAUUUGUAUUUCUUAUGUUUUCUGCUCAAUGACUGACCUUUUGCAGAUGUUCCUGAAGGUUGUGUUAUCAUAAGGGAACAUAUUCCCAUCACAAAUCUGUUUACCUGCCUGUGGUUCAAUGAAGUUGAUCGGUUUACUGCCAGAGAUCAGUUAAGCUUCUCCACUGUGAGGGAUAAAAUAAUGGCUAAAGUUGAUUGGAGCAUCAAUAUGUUUUUGGAUUGUGAGAGGCGUAAUUUUGUGAUUCAGGUACAUGUUUAUGUGUUGUCUUUCUAUUAUCAGGGGAGAUGAAACCAGUGCAUCUAAAACUAAGCAAUUUGUUAUUGUUCUGCUCUAAAUGAACCUUAUAAGUGAACUUUUCUAAUGAAGUUGGCCAAAAAAGCUGAAUGACUUUAAUUUUAUUGUUAUAUUAACUUAUGUAUUUUUUUUCCUUCCAUGUUUAACAUUGAGCAGCACCUCCUUCCUCUGUUGAAAGAGGAAAGUAUGACAAUUUAUUAUUGGUCUGCUCUAUGUUGCCUGUUUGUCUUAUUUAUUAUUGGUCUGAUUUUAGCCGCAAAUGUUCCUUGUUUCCCAAACACAGAGUUCUGGCAACUAAAUGGAUCCUCUGACAACAGUGUAUUGAACAAAGCUGUCCAGCUACUAUAUACAGUGCACGAGACUGAUCUCUAUGGGUGUCUUUGAUCCCUUCUCUAUUUUUUGAUCCUCCAAGUGUUUCUUUGGGUGUUUAAUGUGGUUACUCCAUGCAUUUUAUCAUGUUCUCCAUACAAGUGACAUUUGAGGCUAAAUUCCGUCCUGGGAGUGCAGCUAGUAUGCUUUGACCAAAUGAUGCUAAAAGCAGGAACGAUCAAAUAAAAACAAUCUUUAAUGGGGAUAAUUAACUUGGAUUUAAAAAAUAAAACUCCUAUGCUUUGGGAUGCUAAAUCCUACUACUAUUAGUUUCUCUGUAACAAAAUGCCACUGUUUUAUGGUACUUUUAUGCCACUUGAUUUUUCUUUUGACUUGCAGGCUUACCACAAAGAUUUAUUGGACCACAUGCCACCUCCAGUUGCUCAUGUUAUUCGACAUCCACCACCAUUACAUCGUGAUAGUUCAGCUGGGAGAAACCCAAGUAAAAAUUCAAGGCGUGGAAGAGAUAGGAGAUCUGGUUCAAGGCAACACCGCAAGGCUGCUGCGGGUAACAGGGAGAAGCAAACCUUUUUGUAGGAGAGGUAAAAGUAGGUGUUUUUUAUUUUUUUUCAUUAUACUGCACGGGGAAGAUGGAUUUGGUUAGAAGUAUUUAGAAUGACCCAAAAACAAAAGCAACCGAAAUUUUGUUUGAAAUUAUUGAUAUCUCAUAUUCUUUCAUUGUUGUAAAUACUUCAUACCAAAUAAGUCCACACCAGCUGCAAUCAUUGAAUGCUUCUUGAUUUUCAUUUACUUGGUGCACGAACAUGCAUUGGCCAUCACUUGUGUAUCUUGAAAAUGUCAGCUUUCAUGCUUUAUGCGUUGUCCAGUUAUAGAAAUGGAAGAUAUACUUUCUACAUUGGCCAUCACUUGUGUAUCUUGAAAAUGGCAGCUUUCAGGCUUUUUGCGUUGUCCAGUUAUAGAAAUGGAAGAUAUACUUUCUAUCCUCUAUACAAUAAAUACCGUGCCAUCCUGAGUGCGGAGCGACUAAUCCUUGUUCUUAGGAGUGUUGUUCAUCUUCUCUUUUGAGCUAUUAAGAUGCACUGCUUAUUCUGCUUUUCUAAGCUUGAAUCUGAUCUUUCCUUCAUGUGUUCUUCCAAGGUUUUGGGAAUGAGUUGUUUAAUUCUAGGGCAUUUGUAAGAUGAGAAAAUCUUAGUGUUUUCAGGCCUACGGAAUGUUUCCUAACCUGUGACUGUACAAGUAAAUAGGAAGAUUUCUGAACUGGCCUCGUCCAUGCUCUUACCUCAAUACCCAGAUUGAAAAUUUUGGUACCCUAUAUGUUGAAUCUCAUGUUUCUCCACUCUUAUCAAAUCCUCAACUAAAUUCAAAAGCAGGAAUUGAAAGUGGAAGGAUAGAUUAUCCUUCAACCCUACAGACAGCACAUAACAUGAUCCUUCAACCCUACAGACAGCACAUAACAUGAAAGGGUCUCACAGGAGAGGAGAGGAGAGGCCUAUCAGCAAGAUACAAGUUCCAGUGGUGAGAAUCGACCAUACACUUAAAAUAACAUACAAUGAAGUAUACCUGCAAAAUAUAACAGCUGUAUUGAAUACAAUAAUGGCUUCUUCUCUGUGAUGAUAAUAUAAUAAUGUGGUUUUGUCAUUCGAUUUGCAUACAGAACAGAGCAAUACAGCUUGAGAUAUGUUAAAAGUAUUCUAUGGAUCCAUUUUUUCAAGUGCAUGCCGAAAGCACUUUUGACAAUUAAAAGCAACCUCAAGUUUUAGCAAGUUCGAGUUAAACUAUAAAGGUUCACACUUUUUAGGCAUUGAUUCUCAUUUUCUGUUAAUUAUUUCUUACUCUUACAGUUCAUUUUAUAAACAAUUUUCUUAAUUCGAUGAUAAAAGAAAUAUCUUCCUAGUAUCAGUUAAAAUUUGAUAACACCUGCAGCUCAACUAAUAAGAUGCAUCGAAGAUGAUGUUGAAGUUAACAAAUUGUCAUGACACUUCCUGUUAGCUUUUUUCUCUUGUUUAAAAUUAUUAUUUUGAAAUUAUUUUAAUAAGCUAAUAUUAAAAAUAAAUUUUAAAAAAUAAAAAAAAUAGGACAUGAUAAAAGUUAUAUUUAUUACACCCUCUGUAGAUUUCUCGUGAGGAAGAAAGGUCGUGUGAACUUGAUCCUCCUACAUGACGAUACAUGGAUUCUAACUUCCAAAAAGCAAAAAUAAAAAAUUCCAAAAAGAGCUUUUCUUCUACAUUUAAGAUAAUUAGAAACACAAAGGGUAGAGGGUCGGCCAGUGAACAUGUGACCCACAAAUGUGGGAUUGCUAAGCACAAGAAGCAAAGAAAGGCAUAAAAAAACGAAGGCAUUUUGUGCAUGGGAGGAAGGUAUGGUAUGGGAUUAUUGAGAGCAAGAAAUCUCUAUGGAUUGCCACUUGAAAGGAUAUAAAACACCAAAUUAUUGCUUUCUCUACCACCUCUCUGUCCAAAUCUACAUACCUUAAUUAAAUAAGUCUGAGCCCACAGAAUUAUUAUAUCCAUUAAUUUAGCUCAAUUAUUAUAUCACCCAUAAAUGUCACAUCCAGAUCAGCACCAAUAAUUUUACCUUCCGUUCCAGUUUCAUUUCCCUUCAAUUUGUUUACAGCUUUAGGGUUUUGGGAUGCAAAAGGGUUUCCUGGAUCUGUCUCUCAACAUCUUGAAUUUGAGGUUAGGAUCCUAUAGUCUUUUAUUGGUGGAUUAAAGGGGUCUUAUAUUGAAAUUUGAGGUGGGGUUUAUGUGGGUUUUUCUUGUUUAAUACACUUUGAUUCAAGAUUUGUUUUCUUGGUACAAUUGGUGGGGGAGAUCAAGUUAUGGUCUUGAUUAAUGGGUUUAUCUUGGUUUUUGAGUCUUGGGUUGCUAUCGAAUUCUGGGCUUUAAAUCUUGAUCAAUGAUUCGAUCGUCUUUCUUCAAGAUCACACAUUUAAAAAAGUAGGUUUGAGGGCUCUUUCAAUAGGGUCGAUGUUACUCUUUUCUUGUAUUGUACUUUGGUAGCUAUGGUUUAAAGGCCUUUUCUUGUUGGGUUGAGCCAUUGUUUCUGAUAGAGUUAAAGAAAGGAGAGGGGAGAGUAGUUCUUUUUGGUGCUUGAUUAAAUGGGAUCCUCUGGCUUCUUUCUGAUAUGUAUGCUUCAUUCUGUGAUGGCUCUAACUUGUGGAGCUUUGAUGAUGUUUUACACAAAUGAGGCCACUGUGUUUGGUCAUGGCAUUGAAAUAGCUACAAAGCUUAAAGGUUCAACACCACAUGACCAACUCCUGGUCCAAACCUCUGAUUCCUUUUCUGGGUUGCUAUUGUUUGCCAUUGGGUUCCUUUUGUUCAUGGUGGCAUUUGUUAAGGACAGAGAGUUCCAGAGUUUCUUUGCUAAAGGUUGUGUCUUGCUACAUGUUUCAAUGGCUUUCUGGAGGAUUUACUUUGAGAGGAAGCUUGAAGAUCUGGCUCGUGAUUUGCCUAGACUAGUUGUUGGUGACAUUGCAUUGGCUCUUUCUUGGGUUUUCUUUCUUGUUUAUUCUUGGAGAGAGAAGUAUGAUUAGCAAGCUACAAGAGUCAGAUAGCCAGUCCAUCAUCGAAUAAAUUUGAGCUGUUAUUGUGGUAGCGUUACGGGUUCUGCCAAGUGGGAUCUUUUUUCCUGGCUCUGUUCUGUAAAUUACAGGGUGAAUCUGGAACUUUAAAGAAAUGGACGCAAAGCAUGGAUCGGAUUCUUGGUUAGUGCGCGUUUUAAAUUCUUGAUUGGAUCUUGAACAAGCUUGGAUUCCAAGAAAAGCUGGAGAUGAGAUCUGGGGGCUGCCAUUUUGUUUUUAAUUGAGAAUCUUCAACUUGAGAAGUUUCUUGCACUUACUGUGGUGCCUCUGUGGGCUUCUUGUAUUGAAUUUCAAUGGCAUUUGUAAAUCAACCUUCUUCAAAUAGAUAUUUGAUAAUAAUUAGAAAUGUGAAUCCCAUAAAAGUUUACUCGUUUGCUGCCAUCUCUUACUUUCCUGGCAAUCUUUUCUUGCUAUUUUUCCAGUCUAUUUGAUUUACUGAUAUUGCAAUUUGCACGCAUCCGCAGCUUUGAGUUUGGGACAAAACUAUGCCAAGACAUUUCCAGGAUUUUGUUAAGCAAUCCGAGGGAGGAAUGAUUUGUCUAAUUAAUCAAACGGCAAGAACUGUAAAUGGAGUCACACCAACUUUUAUUUUUUUAUUUUUUGGUUGUAUAUAUUAUAUGAAUUCUCAUCAUAUUAUAUCAUAUUAUUCGAGCUAUUUCCUCUUUGCAUUUCAAGAAUAAUUUGGAAAAAAAAAUAAUUUUAUUUAUUUAUUUUAAAUUAAUAAUUUUUUAAUAUUUUAAUAUUAUUUUGAUAUAUUGAUAUUAUUUAUCAUCAUAUUUUACAAGUUAUUUUGUAUUUGUAUUUUAAAAAUAUUUUUUUAAAAAAAUAUUAUAUUAUUACUAUUUUUAUUUAUUUUAAAUUAAUUAUUUUUUGGUGUUUUCAUAUUUUUUUAAUGUAUUAAUAUUAAAAAUAAAAAAAAUAUUAUUUUAAUAUAUUUUUAAAUAAAAAUUAUUUUAAAAAAUAAUUAUUAUUAUAAAAUCAAACAGAAUUUUAAUCUUUUAAUUUAUUGAAGAUUGACCUUAAUUUUUGUUGCAAACAUAAAAAAAAAAAGUUAUAAAGAAGGGGGAUUAUACGACUUCUUAUCUUUUCCGAUGCUGAAAUUUUAUCAUUCUAAAAAUAAUAAUUAUUAUUCCUAUAAUAAUAUUUUUUAUUUUGAAAAAUAACUCUUAAAUUUAUAUGGAAGGAAAACUAAAAUUUAUUGAAAAUUAUUUUUAGUUGGUUUGAGAGUGUGAUUAUUUUUUAAAAUAUUUUUAAUUUAAAAAUAUAUUAAAAUAAUAUAUUUUUUAUAUCAUCAAAUCAAAUAAUCUAAGAAAAAUUAAUUUUAUUAAAAAAAAAGAUUUAGCUUCUGUUUCAGCCGCAAUCCGAGUGCUUAUUCUACGUUAAAAAGAAAAGUAUAUGCUGUUAUUGGACCAUGAAGGCUCGGCCCACGGACGCCACAACAUCUUGUCUAGGGACCCGUUUCUUUCUUCUUCUUCUUCUUCUCUCUCUCUGAAGUUUCUAGCAUUCAACCACAACAGAAACCCUGCAGAGCCCCAACUCCUGAAACCUUUGACAAAAUUCUAACGGUAACUUAUUCUUUUCUUUUGCUCUUUCUAUGUUUCCUUGUGUUCAUCUGUUCAUUUAUUGUCUUUUAAGUUGUAGAUGGUCUGUUAUGGUUUAGUGUUUUGCUUUGUUUCUGGUUUUAUUGUUUGAAUAAACUUUUUUCUUUUUCUUUUUUCAGAAUUGUUAUUUGCUUUUGUUUUUUCUUUAAUUCUAAUUGUUAUGAGGAAAGGUCAUCAAAAGCUCAAAUGGUUUUAUCUUGAAGAUGAUUUUUUAGUCAAGAAUGCAAUUUUGUAAUGGCAAAUGAUUAUAAUUGGUAUCAUUAAUUGAUUUUGGUUUCUGGGUAUAUGUUUUGCAUAAAUUUCAAUAUUUAGGUUCCGUUUUAAAGAAGAUACUGUAGUUUUCAAGAUAGUUGAGAAACUGAGAACAUGAUAGACAUGAUCUUUCACUGCUAUGAAAAGGAUGAUCAUGCCGGAGUUCUUAGAGAAAAAGGUCGGAUUUUUACUCGAGGAAAAUGAAUUAUUUAUUUUUUUAAAAAAAAAAGUUUGGUUACUUGAAGUUAUUGAUUGGGAAGCUUUCAUACUGUUGGUUCUGAACUUGGGUGAAGCGCAAUUUUGAACUUUUUAAGUUUCUAUUUUCUGUAUGUUGAUUUUGGGUAUAUAGUUAGUCAGUUGCAUAGAGUACUGCUAUAUAACACAAAAAUAAGUUAGCGAAAAGUUCACAAGCAGAUAAAGUGGCCAGAGAAGUGAUUUCGUUCAACUUUUGGGCUAUUUAUUUUUUGUGCCUGUUCGUGUCCUAUUUGUUACAAAAUAUUCGUGUUAUACAGCUUUCUUCAAUUGGGUAAUUGAGAAGCUUGGUUGAGUUAAGUUGCUUCCUGGAUUUAAAAAGAAAUGGGGUGUCUUUUUUGAGUGGUUGUUUCCUUGAACCCAUAUAUAAGUGCAUUUAUAUUAGGCUUUUGUGAUUGCUUCUCAUGACUGUGUCAGAAUCAGAUUCAUCGGUUUGAUUGAGUAUAAUGUUGACAGAUUUUUGGCCAAAUGUCUAAUUUUUAUGAGGGGAAAUGGGAAUAUGAACAAAAACAAACCUUUCAUGUUGUUGAUUUACCACGCGGAGUACUUAAUCAGGUCUUAAGUUUCUGUCUUAGUAAGCAAAACAGCACUUAAUGGUAUGGCAGUGUUUCAAAUUGUUUGAUGGAGUCGGAUAUCAUACUGAAUUGCUUGUGCUAUGAGCUGCAUUAGAAGGAUGAUUAGUGAUCCCUUUGUAGGAAAACAAAUUGGGAUAUGAGCAAAUCUCAUAUGGUGGAGGACAGUCAUGCAAUGGAACAUCUGAACAAAAAUUUUGAAUUGUUUUAGUGGAGUUGAUUGAUUGGACAAUUUGUAGAACAAGGACUCCAGGUGGCAAAGGCAUUAAUUGGCAAAAAGAGAGAAAAGAAAAGGUGCACUUUUUUCUGAUGAAGAAAAAGAUGUCUCUAUUCACAACAGAAAAAAUCUCCUCUUUUUUUUUUUUCUGAUGAACCAAGCAAUUGCAAGCAGCUAGUAAUGAACAACAAACAAUACAGUAAUGAAGAAAUAGAUGUCUCUCUAUUCACAACAGAAAAACUCUCCUCUAGUGAAUUGUAUAAUCAUUGGAAUUAUAACAACGAAAAAAAACCUAUGUAAUGAGUUUAUAAAUAGAGUAGAGGCUCUUGAAUGAUUUUCUUCAUUCCUUUCUUUAUUUCUUUAUGCCUUACAUGUGUUUUCUGCAGAUUUGUGAUGGGUGGACUGCCUUUGCAAAAUGCUUCCCCUACCCCAGUUGUCAGCCAGGUGUCAGUAAUUACAAAUUCUACUAAAGAAUCAAAGCCCAAGAAGAAGAUCUGCUGUGCUUGCCCUGAAACUAAGAAACUAAGGGACGAAUGCAUUGUGGAGCAUGGUGAAGCUGCAUGCGCAAAAUGGAUUGAGGCUCAUCGACUGUGCCUCCGUGCUGAGGGCUUUAACAUUUGAGUUUGGUAGAUAUGGUUUAGUUCAUAAAUCAAUACCAUUUUGGAAUAUAGAAUACUUGUUUUGGAAUUACACAUACUGAAUAGGAGGAAUAAAGCUAGAAAACACAGGUUUUCUUGACCUUCUGUACUUGCAGUCAUUUUUAUCUUCUUGAAUUAUGAUUUCUUUCCUUCCUCUGUGACAAUUGAAAAUGAUCAGAAUCCUUGGGUGGGGUUGAUAUUGUGUUGUCUCUUCUCUUUGUCAGUGUUAUCUGAUUAUUUUUUGAACCUGUGAUUUUACAGGCAGAGGAAAGUUGUUCCUCUGAUGUAUUGCAUUCCUUACAUGCCAAUAACUCUCCCAUUUGUGAUUCCUUAUUUAAAUUCCAUUACGGUGUUAUGUAUUGUUCUGAACUUCUGAUGAUAGAUUAUAGACUCUCAUCUCGUACUUAUGCAAGCUUAUCCUCACAUGUUGAUUGUUAUCCUUACAAGUAGCAGUUGCUAAGGAUGAAGUGAAAAGUUAUAAUCUGAAGUGUAUUGUCCAGAAUUAGACAUUCUCAUCAACUUUGCUGCAACCUGAAUUAUCCUCUCUGUCACUUUUGAGCCAUUAUAUCUCCCUUGAACUCAAGUGAGCUUGUCGAAGGGCUGAGAAGCAACUCUGAGAGGAUAACUCUGGGUUAGAACGUCUAACUUGGACAAUGCAUCUUCAGACAAUAACAUCUCUUAUCUUCUUAUUUCAUCUUUGCAACUUCUAAUCACUGCAUGCCAGGCCAGUUCUAUCUUCUUUGUCAAUAUCGAGAACAGAUUCUCCUAGUUUUAUAACUCGCGAGUUCUAUCUUUUUUAUUCAUUGCUUCCUAUGCUAAUUGUCAUUUAGUUCAGAGAACAGAUUCUCCUUUUUUUUUUUUCCUUCCUUAUCUGUGUCCAUUGGCUAUAAAAUGGAAAAGGUAAAUAAGAAGAGAAAUCUAGACGUGUGAGUUCAAAGAGUUGGUUGACUGCAAGAAUUUCAAACUGGAAGACAUAUUAGGUCAUCUUUCAUGGUAUUUCAAAGCUUGUACACUACAUUUCAGAUUGUUUGCCAAAACUUCAGUGAUGAAACAGGAAAAUGGAAAAAACCCAGUCUUCUUCUCAUGUUUCUUUUACGUUUUAUGUUUGUAGUCUAGUGAUAAGUUUAUGCCCCUCCUUUAUGGUAUUUGCACUAUUUUGGUCGUUCUACAUGCUGCGGUUAAUUUUCGAUUCUAUUUGGUUUUUACUCAAAAUAAAAAAAUAAUAAUAAUAAUAACUAAACCAAAAGUUUUUAUUAUUUUAAAUUAAUAACCGAAACUGGUUCAAACUAGUUAUUUUAGUUCGGUUCAGUUAAUUGAAGGAAAAAACCGAUUUAAUAAAACUAUCGAGUGUUAAAUCCCCUGCUGCGAAUCACUUCAUUCUAAUCCAGAAAUAGCAUAUUAUCCCGAACGUAAAUAAUAGGAGUAAUAGCAUAAAAAGGAAGGAAAAAAAAACAUAUUUUCUCCCGAUGGAAGCGUAAGUUUCUUCAAUAGGCUUUGUCCAUUGCAGAAGUGUUCCACCAGCGUCCAACAAUAAUGCAUCAUAUGCUUUUUUAACAUACUUUAUUGCUCCUGUAAUGUAAUGAAACAAAGUGAACGAAUCUGAUCUAUUGAAAUAGUGUACGCAUUUAUAUAUAUGUACUAAUAAAUAAAUAAAUAAAUAAAGCACUAAGUAGAAAGGAAAAGUGACCAGACCAGCAGAGUGGAUGGCAAUGGAAGAAGAGCUUGAUAGCUUCAAUUUGAUAGGUUUCAGAGCUUUAAGCAAAUAGUUCCCAUGACAUUGGCCAAACGGGAAAUGGAGAUUUAGGAAUGGAAUUGAGCAAAAUAAAAGAAAGAUAUACCUUUAAAGAUUGCUAGAUACCUUUGUUUUUUCUCGAGACUUUGAACCUUAAAACUGGAGAAGACAAGAAACCAGAGAAGGGGAGAUGCGAGAACUGAGAUAGAGAGAAAACCUGGAGGAGGGCGGCGGCUGGGUUUGACUUGGCCUUUAGAGUUAGAAGAAAAGUUUAUAUUUAUACUGUUUUUCUUUCAGUGGUGGUUUUCUUGCUCACCCCUAAUUACCAUGUCGUGGAACAAAUUAGGAUAAGAGUUGUAUUGAUCUCAAAUAAGCUGAUGCCGUCGUACCAGAGAGCUCAUGAAGAAAAAAAUUGAGGAGUUCCAGUGAAGAUGAUACGCAGAAUAAUCUUGAAUUUAGAACAGUACUAGUUGGCAAAGAAGGAACAAAACUGAAAUGCAUGGUAAAUGAUUUAAAAUUGUGAGAAAGAAAUCGGGAUUCAAUGAUUUUGUUUUGAAUUUGAUGUUCUUAAUUCCUUUCUUCUUCCCCCGUGUCUCCAACCCAACGGUGUCUUGUUUCUGAGUAUGAAAGCAGGAUUCAAUGAUUUUGCUUUGAAUUUGCUGUAAUCAAAGCAAAAGAGGAACUGCUGGCUUGCCCUGAAACUAAGAAACUAAAACACGACAGCAUUUUGGAGAAUGGUGAAGCUGUUUGUGUGAAAUAGGUUAAGACUCAUUGUCCAGUGAGGACUUCAACAUUUGGCAAAUGAAUAUCACUUCGAGGAUAGAACAGAUACGAGGAAUAAAGCUAAAAACCGCAACUUUGCUUGACUUUUUCAUAUCUUCAAUCAUUUUUUCUUGGAACUCCACUAACAAUUGAAAAUGGCCAAAAUGCAUGAAUGAGGCCUUGAUACUGUGUUUGUCUCAUCUCUUUGUCGAUGCUUUAUUCUUGUCUGUACAUGUGAUUUAACAGGUAGACUAAAGCUCCUUUCUCCAAUGUAUUCCAUUCCUUAAGAUGCCAUUGAAGUCUUCCAUUCAUUUAUGAUUCCUUCUUCAUAUUCCUUAAUCAAUGGUGUUAGAUAUUGUUCUCAGCUUUUCUUACGAUGGUUAUUGACAAUUUAUCAUAAGGAGAUCUAAUGGCUGAAAAGCAAGUAACCAAGGAUGGAUAAUUAUUCUACACGCUACUAUAAAUUGAUCUAAAGGUCUUCAGACAGUAACCCUUUCCCCGAUUUCUUCUGUUCAUCUUUUACGACCACUAAUCAUUGCAUGCCUUGCUAGUUGUAUGAUCAAACAAUUGCUGGCCAGGUUACGUACUUUCUUGUGAUCCUUUUGAGUAUUCUCUUUCGCAAUCACUUGAACAUAUUGCUGGCCAUGCCGUUUCUCUUCGAGUUCAGAGAUCUCAGAUUAGAUUCUUCCAAUUUAACUUUCUUUUGCUUUUGGGUUUAUCUUUUAUGACUUCUCAUUGCUGCGUGACAUAUUUCUUGUGGAAUCUUUAAGUGUUGUGUGCAUUAGCAGAAAAUAAAAGGAAAAAAAUAAUCUUGACACGAUCCCAACGAAGAAGAGUUGAUUGCAAGAUUGUGGUCUGGGAAAAAAACUGAUUUCUUAAGCAAUAACGAUCUCAAAUUAACUUGCCUAAUUAUUGUAAUGCUAUCCGAUUGUAAUUCGCUGUGGUGAAGCUAUGCUUUCAUGCAUCAAAUUUUAUGCCAUUUGAUCACAGAGCAUACCGCUUGAUAGGCUAUGAACUCUAGAUUAAUAAAGUUCAGCAAUAUUCUUGCUCUGGUAGUCUAGGUCUACUUUAGCCAUGGAGACAAUAUAGUUGUGAAGUAAAUGAUUAGAAAGAUGAGAGAAGCAGAGUACUACACUAAUUAUAAGACUUCAUUAAAACCACACCAGAGGCCACAGACAUGGCCAAUACAUAACAAUGAAGAAGACACAAAGAUAAAGACACUCACGGACACUUUUGUUUGUUCACUCCACACCCACAAGUACAGAAGAACACAGAUUAUUUAUCAGAAAUUACAUUAUUAAUCCACUCCCAAUCCCACAUCAAACAUGAUAGUUGAUGUGCUUGCUUAAUGACCGCAUGUGCAGGUAGUGCAAGUGCAGCCAGUACCGCAGUUGCACUUGCCAUCGUUCUCAGCUGCUGGCACCUCCAUGACUACGGAGGAGACAUAGCUGCAAAAAGAAUUAGACUCCAUUGUAUUAGCAUCGUGUUCCCAUUUCCUUCAUUAUCAAUCUUAACUGACGAACCAAAAAUGUUUAGGAAUAAAGCAAUAUAUAUUAUUCAUUCUGCUUAUUAAUCAUCAGUGCAUGCUGAAGCUUCAAUCAUGUCUCUCAACGCUAAUUAAGACUACGACAACAGGACUUUAAAGAUAGAGAUGCGAAAGUUACUUCUUCUCAGUCUCGACGAUGCCAGCAGUGUAGCUGCUUCCCUUCUUGCUGCAAAUUAAUCACAAAUUGCAUGGCAUGAGAGAGCAGAUAGCAUAAUGUAUGCACGAAAGCCAUGCAGAAACAUGAACUACCUACUAUACAGCUUGCACAACAUAUAUAAACCAUAAACAAGCAAGAGCUGCUUAAUCAGGUUUGCAAAAGAAGGGGAAAAAAAGAAGAAGAAUUCUUACACACACUGGGUCUUGUCAGCGCAGUCGCAGGUGUCGCAGGUGCUAGACAUGAUGAUUGAUUGAUUAAGCUUAAAUGGAUGAACUAAAAGACUUGGAGUAUGAAUGUGUUCUCUGUGUAGCUUAAUGAGUUGUUAUAUCUUCAAGCCCUGCUCUAUUUAUAGAAGGAGAGAGCGCAUCAGUAAUGGCUGCGAUGAAGAGGAAGGGCAAUUGUGGGACCCUCUUAAGGCAUGAGAGAAGCACACUCUUCUCGAGGAAACGUCCGAAGGAAUCUUGA
rnacentral:lncRNA from 1 species